CACUUUCUAUCCUAUUCAUCAUCUCCCGCAACACUCCUCUCUCUCUCUAGCAUCACCUCUACACUCCUCUCUCCGGGCCAGGAUUGCCCAUAUGUCUCCUUACUCCUCAAAGGUGCCCAUACCUCCUCAUAACUCCUCAGCAUCACCCACUUCUCCAUUUGUCGUGUUCUUGCUCGAAUCUUGAUCGUUCUUCGUUUUAUCGCAAUCGUAGUUGUUGUUGAGAUUUUUUUCAAAAAAGUUAAUUUGUUUUUAGUUUUUGUAAAAUCUAGCCAACUGUAGAGUUGGAAACUGUUAUUUUAAACAUCUAAUAUGUUUUAGACAAAAUAAAAUGAUUUUUCUCUUUGUAAACUAACAGCACAAAAAAUGCAAUUCGGAGCAAAACGACGAUAUUUCCAAGAAUAGUCAGCGAAACCUUAAUUCUCAAAACAGUCCAAAACAAUCUAAAGCACGAAACAGAACUUUUCACUUAACGUGUAAAGUAACCAAAUAUUAAUGACAUUUUACUUUACUUAGAGAGGAAUAAAGAAGAAAUUAAGAUAAUGAAAGAUUUUCGAAAGAGAUAAACUCGACUCUCGACAAAGAAAGGAAAAUAUCAGAGGAAAUAUGGAAACAAAGCAGAUGUGGAUCAAUGGCAAUAUGGUCGGCCUUGGAAGAAUAUAUAAACAAGGCUAGGCCAGAGAAAAAGGGGGCAAAAAAUUAGCUCUCGAAAGUCUAUGCACUAAAGAAACCUUAAGUUUUAUUUUUGUCUGUUUGCUAAUGAGCUGCAACCCACCUAGGAUUUCUAGGCUUAUGUGGUUAGUCUAGCGAACUUAGAUAGAUUUCGCUACUUUCGCUUAUUCGACUUCCGUUGUAAUUUUGCUAUCCAGAUCUCCUAGUAUAUAAGCAUUAAUGAUAUGUGAUGUCUAAAACGUGCACCUUGAACAAAAUUUUGGUUUGGGUUUAGUUUGGGUUUCAAGUUCAGGUUUUUUUGCUGAGGCCUAACCCUACCAACAUAAGAGAGUUUAAGUGAGGAAAUUUUAUUUAUCAAUUUUGUUUCCUAAGAUUAUCAUAUAGUUCUUCAGACAAGUGUAGAAAGGGCAGAAGAAAAGUAAAAUUAAUUCAAAUAUACAAUAAGCAUCAACUAACAUCGACUUAGAAACAAAAUUCCACAUUGACUUAGUGAACAUAUGCAUCCCAAUCCUAAAAUUGUAAACUCUAUGUUUCAUACGUUUACGAUUAGAUUAUAGGUCAAAUACAUAAGGACAAUAAUAUUUAUGUAUAAAUAUAAACUAGGUGUUUGCCCGCAAUUUUGCGGAUAGUUAUAUUAUAUAAAGAUAUAUAUCUUAACUUUACACUGUUAUAUUUUUUGAAUAAUAAUUAGAAAUUUAAAAUAUUUGGAUAAUCAAAUAUUUGGAUAAUCAAAAAUUUGGAUAAUCAAAAAUUUCAGUAUAUAUUUUUAGAAAAUAUGUGAAAUUUAAAAUAGUUCAAAAACAUAAACCUUAGUCAUUAAAAUUUUUUCUCUUACAGAAAAGAAUAUUAUAAUUAAUUCAGAUAAUUGGUGGUAAAAUUACUUUAUAUUUUAGUUUAACACAUGAAAAACCGAAAAUACUCUAGCUCUCAAGAGAGAGAAAAAAAAAGAGUGCAUUUUUUGUGUAACUUCAAUAUGACCAAUACAAUGAUCGUAGGCUUUUAUCAUGAAAGAUCUUUUGUAAACAGUUUUGUGUGGGCUUUAAAAACAUAAAAUUUAUAAUAAUUUCUUACCUACAAAUAUAAUUCUUUUAUAUAAUAAUAUAUAACCAUUGAAUUUAUUUUCUAUAAAAAUACUAAAGUAGUUUGUUUAAUUAUAUAUAACUAAUUGAUAAAAAUAAAGAAAUUGAUAUAACAUACAUAUAUAUAUAUAUAUAUAUAUAUAUUCUUUCUCUAAUUCUACAAUUAGUUACCAUAAAUCAUUAUUUGUACUAUCAUUUGUGUUAUUUGGUAAUUUGUACUAAUUAGUUCUAGAGUUACCUUUUAUUUUUAGAUCUGAUUAAAAAAAUAACUAAUAAAUUUUAACAACCAAUCAAAUUAUAACUAUUUUUAAAAAAUAAACCUAUUAAAGACACAUAAUCAAAAGUUUAUUAAAUGACUUCUCAAUUAAUAUAUGGUAGGAUUUAUCUCUUUAAAACCAAGGAUUAAUUUGGUUAAGUUAAACAUAAAAACAUGUAUUAGAAAAUGGUAGUUUAAGCAAUUUUCUCAUAAUUUGUCCCAAAUCACACUUUCUCACUCAUUAUUUUUAAUUUAGUGUUUAACAUAAAACUCACUAUUUUAUCAAACAUUAACUCAUUCAACCAAAUGCUUUUAAUUAAAACUAAUCAUAGUUUACAUAUCUUUUAAAAUUAUUGUUUUAAUUUAUUUUAAAUUAAAUUAAAACAUAUCUAUAUUAAUUAAAUCUAUUAACUAAUAAAAAAAAAUAUUUCAAUUUUUAAAUAACUAAAUGUCGUUAUUUUAGGCAUAUAUACUUAAUAUUAAUGUGAGAUCCAAUAUUAUAUGAAAUAAAAUGUUUUUUAUUUGUAUACAUUUUGUUAAAAUUUUAUUAUCGUACAUUUUAAAAGUUUAUUAUAGUUUAAAAAAUACAUCUCACUAAUAUUUUAAAUAAUUUUUUAUUACUUUCAAUUUACAUUAUAUUUUUCAUCUUUGACUUUAACAAUUGUAGAGAUGGUCAUUUUUAUUGAACUUCCUUAAUAAAUUUAUAUCACAUUGUCUUUAGAAAAUAAUUGGAAUUUUUUUAGAAUUAUAUAUUUGACUGUUUUGCAUUCAUUUGACACAUUUUUAUACUAUAUAUAUAGUGAAUAAGUGAAUUUAAUUAAUAUUAUUAAGUUUAGAUUAAUUAGUUUUCUAAAAUAUAUGAUUUAUUUUAUUCACUGCUAAUAUAAAGAUAAUAAAAACCGUUUUUCUAAUUGUUUCUAUAGUAUCAUAUGUAUUUAUAUGUAUCUUAUCAAUUUAUAUAAUGUAAUCUAGAUAUUUAAUUAUUUCUAUAAAAAAAUUAUGUUAAUUCAUCUAUAUUUAAGAUGCUAAAUUGUAUGUUUGGAAAGAUAGAUUAGAUUAGAUAAUUCUAUGAAUAUUUUCAUUUUAAAAACUUUCAUUAAAUAAAUUAAAAAUUAUCAACCAAUCAAAUUAUAACAAUUAAUCUUAUAUAUUAAAAAAGAAGUCAUGACUUCUUUCAUGUGUGAUUUUUUUUUUUUUUGGACCAUCACUUAGAAAUCUUAUUAAAUGUAUUUUAUUAAGAAUAAUAAUACAUAGAAUCUUUAAAAUACUUUAAUCAUAAUAUCUUUUGAUAUCUUUUUAUUUAAAAUAUAAAUAUAUUUAUUUUAAAAAUCUAACAAAUCUGUUUUAAAAGAUUUUUACAAGAUCUUCAUUUUCGAAAUUAUAUUUAAAUAUUUUUCAUUAAUUUCGAAAUUAGUUUGAAAUAUUAUUAUACAUUAAUAAAUUCACUAAUCAUUUAUAAAAUAAAAAAUAAAAAAUUCUGUAAUAUUUUAUAUAUUAUAUAAUCAUGAUCAAUCAUAUUAAAAGAAAAUUAUUAUAUUGAGCUAAGUAUAAUAAAAUUGUAUUAAAUUUAUAAAUUUUAUUUUCAUAAGUAUAAAAUAUUUAUGUUCAAAAAUAAAAUCUAAUAUGUUGGUAAGAUGGAUUAAGCAAAAUAUAUAAUACAUGUAUAAAAAUUAACAUGUAUUUCUUUAAAGCUUAUAAUAUAAAAUCUUUGUCACUACUUUAAUCAUAAUAUAUUUUCAUUUUAAAUAAAAUAUAUAUUUAUAUAUUAUAUUUAAAAAUUCUAAUAAAUCUGUGUAAAAUUAUUUUAACAAUAAUUUAAUAUAUUUUAAGUUAUCGUUUAUAAAAUAAAAAUAAAUAAAUUAUAUCCUAUUUUACCCACUUUAUAGUCAUGAUCAUGUUAAAAUAUAAUUAUUAUACUUAAAUAAAUAUGAUAAAAGUAAAUUCAAUUGAUAAAUUUAUAAAUUUUAUUUUCAUAAAUAUAAAUUAUUUAUUUUAAAAAUAUAAUAUGAUGAUUGAACGCCUUAAAAUUAACAAACCUUAUAAUACAUGUCUAAAAAUUAACAUAUCUUAGACUUUUGUAUAUACAAUAAUAUAUUAUCUAAAAUGAAUAAGCAUAAAAAAUAUUAGUAAAAAGAAAUACAGCUUUGAAACACGGAUCAGAAUUUAGCAUAAAUUAAAUACAAAAUAAUUUUCAAAUAUGUUUUCUCAUGAAUAUAAUAAUUUGCUUAAUAACUAAAUGCAAAUACAAUAAGAUAAAUAUAUAAUAAGAAGUGAAAAUACAUACGGUUUUAACCAAAUGAUUAAUUAUAACAUGUAAAUUAUAAAAUUAUUAUAUUUGAAAUAGUUAUAUAAACAUUUAAGUACUAGUGGUUGGCCCGCCCUACGGGCGGGUUAGUUUACGCUAAAACUAUUGUAUAUGAAAAUAUAUAUUAAUUUUAUAAAUUUUUUAAAAUUUACUUUAAAAUAAAAUAAUAAAUAUAAUAUUUUUUUAAAAAAAAUCAAAUUGUAUUUAUUAAUAUUUUUUAGUUUGAGUUGAAAAGACCUCUACCAUUUUUUGGUUAUAGAUUACAAAAUUAUGAAAUUAAAAAAUUAAGAAAAUGUAAUGAUUUAUAUUUCUAUUUUAUUUCUAUUUCACUUUGAUAUAGUUGAAGAAAAUCUAAAGUAAGAAUAACAUUUUUAAAAAAAAUUCUAAGAGUAUAAUUAUAAUACUAUUACAAUUAAUUAUCGUCUCCCGAUUAUAAAUUAAUCCACUUCCAAGCUAAAUCAAUUGAAAAUAUAAUGUAAUGUAAUAAAAUUAUAAAAUGUUAUAUUUUAAUGUAAUAUAUAAAUAGUUUCAAUAAUUUCACAAAUAACAAUUAAUCUAUAUUAUUUAACAACAAAAUGAUGUUUUAAAACAAACCAAACCAGAACCAAAGUGGACCCAAUAUUUAUUAGUCAGUUUCUACUAUUGUUGUCCAACUGGAACAAAAACAUUAACAGACAAAUUGAAAUUCAUAAAUAGUCAGUUUCAUUGUUCAUUGUCUAAACACAACAUGAAACACUUUGGUUGCCUCUAUACCAUUUGGUUUUCGGUUCGAUUAUGGUUUUUGUUGGUUUUCCGGUUCUAAAGAUAUAGGUUACCGUUCAAUUAUUUAUGAAUUUCACUUUCGCUAUUUUGGUUUUUGUUCCAGUUUGGAUAACAAUAGUAGAAACUGAAUAAUAAAUUUUGGGUCCAUUUUGGUUCUGGUUUGUUUGUUUUUUCGGAUAAUUCUAGAUAAAUCGGGAAAUUGGAGAUCUUUGUAUUUUUCAGAUAAAAUAUCAGAUAAUUAAAAAAUAUUCUACAUUCUUUUGGGUUAUUCAGAUAUUUUAGUUACUUUGGAUAAAAAAUAUUUGAUUUUUUUCGAGUAGUUUGAUUUAUAUGUAAUAUUUUUAGAAUAUUUGGUAAUUUAUAAACUUAAUGUAAUUAAUAUUUUAAGCAUAUGAAAUGAAAUUUAAAUUUUCUGAUUUGAUUUUUUGAUUCAAUUCCGGUUUGGUUUUCGAUUCUCGUUUAUAUACCUAGACAUAGUUGCUUUAAGCUUUUACACAAACACACAAAAGAGACUAUUUGAAAAUAAAUAUCUAGAAAGUAUAACAAUAAUCUGUAUGCAAUGGGUAUAAAAAAGAAAUGCGGGCUUUCCUCCCUCAUGAACUAACAAUACUACAAUAACUUAAAGACUCUUCUUUUGGAAUAGAUGGAUCUGGUCUUCCUCAAGUACUUCAAGCAUUACCCAAAAGAGUAAACAUCAGACUUCCCAGUCAAUUGUUAUCUUGUACUGGUCUGGAUCAAGAUAAUGAAUCUUCCUAUACCGUCAUACUCACACGUGUCUGGUCAAGAUCUGGACGUCUUAAACAAUCCAAAUUCUGAAACUUUGUCCAUGAAAUUCUCAUCGAAGAGAAUGUUAUCAUACUUCAUAUCGCGGUGGAUGAUACCUCUUGCGGAAUCUGUAUGGAUAUAGUGCAGGCCUCUAGCUGCACCAAGACAUAUCUCAAGCUUCUGUCUCCAGCUCAACCUUGGGCGAUCCAAGUCAUGCACAAUAGUCCUCUUAUUGUUCUCACUGCAAUGCCCGAUUAAAGAAACCAAAUGCAUGUGUAUGAACUGGGACAACAUUUCGAUCACUGUCCUGAAUUUAUUGAUGUAAAGCUAUAGCUGGUUAGUAUAUGUAUUUGAAAAAACCAUUACCUACUGUGGUUGAAGAUUCUUACGGUCCAAUCAGAUUGAUUGCUUCUGGUGGUAGACCAUAUAAUUAAAAAGCCUACUUUCCUCGUUUGCCUUGUAUCUCAAGGACCUCCUGCACUCAAAAACAGAGAACAGUUCGAUUCAAUUAAUUUUUAACACAUUGAGUCAUUCGUUAAUGCAAAAGUGGAACUUUUUGUGGAAGUAAUUCUUGAUUGUAUUACUGAUGAAGCGCUCAGGUGCUUAAUUUCAUUUUCUCCACGUCCCUAAUACUCGAUACCACAUCAUCAUCACACCUGAAAAAAGAGGAAACUUAAAAGAUUAAUAUGUGCCUCCAAAAAUUCAUAUAAUUCAGAGACUCAUGAAGAAACAAGACUUCAAAUGAUGCUAGCCUUCUUUUGACACUAAACACAGUUGGAGUGUUGUCAAGCAGUGGGUUUCCUUUGGGAAGUUCCUCUUCUUUGGCGUUUAGCUCUUCAUUUGCUGCUGCUUUUCCUGGAAAAAUGUAAAUAAUAAAUAUUAAGAUACAACUUUCAUAUGUCAAUGUGUUUAGAAAAAACUAACGUAGUCAUUUUGUUAUAAUUGUAAUCUGAAAUCAUCUCACAGACAAGAACACAUACCUUCCUGAGCCUCUUUAUUUAUUUAUCUGGUCUAGUUCAGCCAUAAGAGAUCCAGUCUCAUCCUCAUCAUCGUCACUUUCUUUAUAUUUAAGAAAGACAACCAGAUCGUAAGAUAACUCAAAGGAAAUUACAAGUCUCAGUUGAUAUAAGUCAUCAAAAACUCUCAAAAAGGAUAACACUGAAGCAAUUGCAUAUUCCCAAACCAGGGCUCUGAGGAAAAGCAUUAAAUCUCAAGCAAAGAAUCUUUAGAAGUUUAAAGCACAAAAGAUGAACUGCAAUAGGAAGGAAAGAAUGGAAAAUAGGUACCUAUCAUCAUCAUCAGAAUCAUCUUCAGAGUCCCUUUUAGAGCCUAAAAGCAGGAUAUCAGAGUUAGAAUUUAGAAAACAUAUAAUCAAACUACUUGUAUCCCGUGACAUAUAAUCAAAUAAACAUAUAAACCUUCGAGUAAUAGCUGAUUCCCUCUCCUGUAGUAGCUUUCAACUAAUGACAAAAAAAAAACACAUUAGUGAAACGAAGGAAGAAUCUUUACAAAAUCAUAUUGAAAAAAAGGUUUGAAAUUUAUCGUCUCACUCAUCACAGUGAGAUUUUUCUUUGGAAGAAAAGUUUCUCCUCUCACGCUCUUCAAGUCAUCACGAAGUUUCUUCUUCUAUAGAACAUCAAGAACUGAUCUCGGUGGUGUUUGAGCAACGGCCUGCUUUCAGAUUUGCGAGAAGAACGUAGGAAGUCGACAUAGUGGGCGGUGAUGCUUGGCAGAGUAUAAUCUUUGAGAAAUCUUAGCGGUGGAGCUGUUCAUGGCAUCUAACGGAGACAUUUAUAGUCUGAAGUCGUACCGAACUCAAACAUGCAUCGCUUACCUUCGUCGCCAAUUAUAAUACAUAAAUGAGGCGGAGUGGGAGGAGAUGUAUGGUGGUGUUAAAUGCUCAUUUUAAUGGUGGACUUAAAAAACGAAUCUGUUACCCAAAGUUUUCAUCGGAUGGAAGAGAAGCGAAAGGAUUAGGGCGUCUCAGUCGAGGAUCAUAAAAACUUAGUCAAACACGGGCCCACGCAUCUGAUACUUAUAAAGACCAAAUUAAAAUAAAAGCCCAUUCACCGAGAGACGAAAAUUUUAGGAGUCGAAGGUUAAGAUGCCACGUGGUGCAAAACGCCCACCUCUAAAAAAAAGACGUGGAGGGCUAAGGUGAGAGAAAACUCUGUUUUUAGGAGUCGAAGGUUAAGAUGCCACGUGGCGCAAAACGCCCACCUCUAAAAAAAGGACGUGGAGGGCUAAGGUGAGAGAAAACUCUGUUUUAUUAUUAUAGAUAUGAUUAAUGUUAAAAAAAUAUCACUAAUGUUUAAAAAUAAUAAUUUAUGUAUAAAAAAGUAAAAACAAACACCCGCGCGGUUGCGCGGAUCAAAAUCUAGUUAAAGAGUUAUUAUAUGAGAGACACGUUAUCAGAAAUCACUAAAGUGACUUCUCAAUUAAUAUAUAUGAAGAUAUUAAUCUACUAUAUAUUAAUUUUGGAGCAUUACAACUUUUGAGUGUAGCCAUAUUGACUUACAAUCCUUCGCAUAUAUAUGACAAUUAAUGAUUUUGAAUAAUAAAGAUUUGAUAAUAUUUUUUGUAUCCUCAAUAAUUUUUGUUUAAUUUAUAUUAUUAAAAAAUUUAAACAAUCACAGUAACCAUAUAAUAAAAAAAUCUAGAUUUUGUUUCUUAUAUGUUAUAUUUAAAAAAAUUUAAAACGAUUAUAAAUUACUAAAACUGUUAAAAGUCUUACAAUGAAAAUUUUGUGAACAACGGUUUUAGUUUUUUGUUAUAAAAAGAUACAAAUGAUCACAAAACAUAUCAAUAUAAAGUAUCAUUUAAAUAGAUAUUCAAUCUGAAUAUCUAUUACCGAGCUUAGAACUUUAGGGUUUAGUUAUAAUCUGAACGAAACCAAAAUCCUAACUAUAAUCCAAAGAUAUCAGAAAUUAGUAUAAUAUGUUAAUGUUUUUUUUAUAUAUGUUAAGGCAAUUUAGAUAUUUUAUAGUUCGAAAGAUUUUUGUAGUUUAUUUUAUUUGUUAUCUUGAAUAUCUUUUAGUUAAUUUAGAUAGUUUAACUAAUUUUAAUUAUAUUUAUGAAUAAUUUUAACAUUUUGAAGCUUUUUUCAAUUUUUGAGGUUUAAAAAUAUAUUUUGGGACGAUUCAGAUAUUGGUUACAAUCCGGUCCGAACCGAACCCGGCCUAAUUAUUAGUAAAACCCGAGUGGGACGUAUAAGCAUAAUAUCAAAAUUUUGAAAAUCUGAAUCAAUUGAACCGAAACCGACGGACCCCGAACGCCCAGACCUAUGAUACAUUUAUAUACAAACAUUUGUAUUCUUCAUUUUACAAUCGAUAAAGAUUAUAAUAUUGUAAAAUGUUAUAACCAUUAAAUAAAUAAAUAUUAGUAUAAAAAUCUUACUCCGCGCCGAUUAUCAUCUAGUAAUAUUAUUUGCCAAAAUCAAUAUACAAGGACAUAAAUAUUAAUUCAUAAAUAUAUUAUAUUUAUGAUUUUACCCUAAAAAUUUUUAAAACUAAAAUAAUUUUCUAGCCAGGUUUUUUGUUAUUUUCGUGUUAUAGGGGAGAAAAUGGUAUUUGAGAAUAUUUUAAAAAAUAAAAAAAACAGCAGAAAGUAGAUAAUUGGUUCGAAAUGUCGUUUUAAUAGGUUCAGCGCCAACAAUCAGUCAGGAAACUAUAACUUCACCUUCCAUUCUCUCUAUCUUCUUUUCAAUCAUCUCCAGAAUGGAAUAAACAAUUAGGUAGUUUCGAUUCGAUGCUGCUCAGCUCAUGUCUUCUUACACCAUCAAAGAAACAAUGGCGACUAAAGAUGAAGUCCAGAACGACCCACUGUUGCAGGCAUCAGAAAGUGACGGUCACGAAGAGUUCAACGGAGCUUCUUUCACCGGAGCGGUACUCAACCUGGCAACAGCGAUCAUCGGUGCUGGUAUCAUGGCUUUGCCCGCCACGAUGAAGAUCCUCGGACUUGUUCCCGGAAUCGUGAUGAUCCUUCUCAUGGCUUUCUUGACCGACAAGACUAUUGACUUCUUGCUUAGUUUUAGCGGAGUCGGGAACGCUAGAAGAUCGUACGGUGGUUUGAUGGAAGAUUCUUUCGGCAAAACCGGAAGGAUUGUGUUGCAAGUUGCUGUUCUUGUUACCAACAUUGGGGUUUUGAUCGUUUACAUGAUCAUCAUUGGUACUUGAUCUUUGAUACUAAUCAGAGCUUUUGAUCUUUGGCAUUUGUUUUAACUCUUGUUUGGCUUGAAGGUGAUGUUUUGGAGGGUAUGCUUGAAGGAUGGUUUGGAGAAAGCUGGUGGGACAAGAGAAGUAUUGUUCUUCUCUUUACAACUCUUUGUGUCUUUGCUCCAUUGGCAUCCUUCAAGCGCAUUGGUUAGAACAAUGUGUUGCAUACUUCUCUUAAAAUGAAAUGGAGAGUGUAUCCGGUUGAUUUAUUAUGGCUUCAUUGCAGAUACUUUGAGAUUCACGUCUGCCCUAUCACUUGUUCUAGCGGUUGUUUUUCUAGUCAUCACUGCGGGAAUCGUCGUUACAAAGUUUUACAGAGGUGGUUUGAUGAAGCCAAGACUCUUCCCAAACGUCACUGACUUGUCAUCGGUCUGGAAACUCUUCACCGUUGUUCCUGUGCUUGUCAACGCAUACAUUUGUCAUUCUAACGGUAACGCUUCUUUCUCACUAAAAGGAUUAAACAGGAACUCAUGGUUUUUUGAUGUUUUCAGUCCACAAUAUACAGAACGAGCUUGAAGACUCCAUUCAGAUCAAAGCUGUUGUGCGUUCAGCUCUAGUGAUGUCCUCCUCUGUUUACGUAAUGACAAGCUUGUUCGGAUACCUCUUGUUUGGUGAAUCUACUCUUGAUGAUGUUCUUGCAAACUUUGAUACCGAUCUUAAGAUCCCUUUCGGUCCGGUUCUCAGUGAGGCAGUCAGACUCAGCUAUGCAGCUCAUCUCAUGCUUGUGUUCCCUGUUAUCUUCUAUCCUUUGCGCGUUAACCUGGACGGUCUCUUGUUCCCUACGGCUACUCCAUCACUUACUACCUCUAAUAUGAGGUUUGGCUCCAUCACUGCCGGUCUCAUUGCUGUAAUCUUUGUUGGUGCAAACUUCAUUCCAAGCAUCUGGGAUGCUUUCCAACUCACUGGAGCUACAACUUCUGUCUGCAUCGGUUUCAUAUUCCCUGCUGCUGUCAUCUUGAAGUAAGUCCCCAUUGUUUCUCAUAACAGACUGGUUUUGGAACCUAAUGGAUCAUUUUACCUGAGGGUAUCUCUUCAGGGAUCGUCAUAACCGAGCAACAAAGAUGGACAAGACUAUAGCCAUUUUCGUGAUUGUCCUUGCGGUUUUCUCCAGUGCAGUUGCCAUUUACAGUGACGCUUACGCCUUAGUCAAGAAGAACAAAUCCACAUUUCCAAUGUGAGCAGAAUGGUUUUGUUUGGUUCUCUUACUCUAAGAAAAAAAAAAAACUUGACAACUGUAAGAAUGACCCCUGUGAUUUUGAUCUUUAGAUCUUGUUCAGCUCUAGAUCAAAUAAAAAUGUCAGAAGCGUCCAUGUCUAGAUCAUAUUUGGCCCUAGAACAAUAUCCAAAUUAAAAUACUGUGUUGAACUGAUACAAUUUGUCACUGUGAAUCUUUAAGAUACAGACAAAAAAACAGCAACAAGUGUCUAUUAGGAGUCGUUGGGACAACUCAAAACAAAACAAAAGAGUUAUAAAGAAUAAAAGGUUUACUUUUAGGAAUUUGACUUAUCUCCAUCGCUGGAGUCAGCCGGAGAAGGGAAGCAUUGGCAAUAUCCAUUAAUGCUAUUUCUUGAACUGCUCUGAUCUGAUCACUUUUCUCAAACUCUUUCUUCUUCAGUGCAGCGAAGAGAAGUUAAACAAAGAUGAGAGAUGUUACAGUCACAAGUGAAUAUAAAUCAGUGCAAAAGCUAAAAAAAAUGUUAAAAAACAUAUCUCAAGUAAGCACUGCACCUGAUAAACAUAAUAGAAAGCUUCUGACUAACUGUCUAGCUAAGAAAACUCAGAGGAGACGGGUAGUGUGCACUCAUCAAGAAGUGCCUCAGAGCCAAUGGAUGGUAACUUUCUGUGAUCUACACAAGAUUGAAACAAAAAGACGGAUCAGAACCUGUCAACAAUUCUGCGUUUAGGCCAUGCGAACAAUGAGUUACUAUAUUUGGAAAGAAAAUAGAACAAUACUCAACGGGUUCUCCACACUCUCAUUAGCACGUAUGAUUAUAAGCAAAUUAACUUCAUAACCUAAAUGCUUCAAGUAUCAACGCAAACCCAUGAUAUGUGCAAAGGCUCAAGCUUUCUUUUCUACGAAUCUAAGUUACGAGAGAUGGGAGAAUUGAAAGCAUGCAUCUAGACCUGUAGAGAACGUCGAAGGAGACGACGGAGGCGCGAGCAUGGCCGACUUUUCGCGUGCCCCAAUGUGAAAUGUAGAAUCUCCUAUGGAUUCCUAGAGUCUCAUAUACCCCUAUUUCAUAAUUAUUUUUUUGAUCAAAAUCCAAACUUUCAAAUCAAAUCCUUCCAGGUCAUCAAAACUAAACCCUAACCCUCCCCUAUAAAUUAGUGAACCCAUGGACAAAUAUUUAAAUUCAGAAUAAAAUAUUUUAAAAUCAUUUUUAAUCAUAUUUUGAUGAUUUUUUUGAAAAUAUGGAAAACAACGUUUUUGGAUUUUUGAAAUAUUUUUAUCAAAUUCUAUAAAUCAAAUAAAAAAUAUUAACGUUUCAAUUUUAAUUUUAUGAUUUUUAGUUUGACAUAUAAAAUUAAAAGAACAAAAAGAUCCUUUUGAGAUUGUGUUAUGAGAUAUAAGGGUAUGAGAAGAUUUGUCUCUCUUUGCGGUUAGAAAAUGUAGGAACUGUGACCAAGAUCUAUAGGUGGGAUCCACUCUGUUUCUCCUUGAGCCAUCUUUUUUUUAAUGCUAGUUUAUUAUGAUAUUACAAUUAUGAAAAAAAUUAUAUAGACGAUUCGACAACCAACAAUACUACUUGCCUUAUGAGGAUUUAUGCAUAACUGCAUCAUGCCUUAUGAGGAUUUAUGCAUAACUGCAUCACCUCAGCCGUCCUAUGAAAAUCCACGUUUGGCCGAAUUUAUUUGCGCCAUGUUAAAAAUCCCUUGUAAGCUUUUUUCCGUAAUUUGUAUAAUUGUUUAAUAAAUCGUUUUUUCCGGGAAUUGAAAGUGGACCUCAUGUAAUAUGCAAAAAUUUGCAUAGAGAUUCGAACCCAAACAUGGAUGUAGAAACCUUUAAACAUUAACCAUAUGAUAUAGUGCUUCCACUAAACCAUCUAUCUAAGAUCCUGUUUCAAAGAAAAACUAAAACUUUAAAUAUUUGAUUUCAAUUAUAUACUCCAACAAAAGUUUAUAACUUUAAAUUUUAAAGUUUUGAAUAGUUAAACUUUAAUUUGAGAUUUUAUAUUUUAAAGUUUUAAAAAAAUUAUCUGUUUUCUAAAUAAUCUUGUUAAGUUUCAAUAUUAUCAUUUUAGUUCUUAUAAUUUCUAUAUUUCAUUAAUAUUUUACAUAUAAAAUACUGAUUUGGUUUGCAACUUAUAUCUAACUAAUAAAUAAAUUUAUAUGUCAUUUUAAAAUUUAUUAACUGAUCAUAUAUAAAAACAUUACAAAAUAAUUUUAUUGAGUAGUUUGGUAUUUUAUUUGUAAGUAAUGAUUUAAUUUAAGUUUUUCAGUUAUCAUUUAUCAUAAGAUAGCAUUUUUCUAACCAAUAUUAUAACUAUUAUAACUUUAAUCAAUUUUUAAUUAAUAUCGAAAACUAAAGUGAAUAUAUAAUAAGAUUUAAAAAUACAUUGUAGGUUUUAAUAUUGGAAAGUAACACCCCAAAUCUCAAAUUUAGGGGUUUUCCAACCUUAAAAAUAUGGCUCCUCUUGAAAAUGCUCUAAGUUGGACUAUGGGUUUGUUCAUGGAUAUGAUCAACUGGAAAAAUAGACUGUUUUCAAAUAUCAAAAUUGUAAUCUCGUUACAGAAUUUUCUUCUUUUUUUUUUAAAUUAGAAAUUUUGUUUAUGUUGAAAUAACACUGUCAAGAUAUGUUAUAGUUUACUAAUUAAAUACAGGAUUAGAGUGAGCUUUGGGUUCUAUAUAGAUUCAGUUGCUCCACCACGUAGACCAAAUUGUUUAAAAAUUGCCUCAAUUUUUUUUUUUUUUGGUGUAAAAUUGCCUCAACUUCUUGUUCAUUCUUUUAUUAGAAAUGAUAUAAAGGAGUGGGAUCUUCAAUUUUUACGAGAAUAUAUGCACCCCGAAGAUUUAACUUUGAUCUUUGGUGUUUCCCUAUGUCUGACCGAUAGGGUUUUGUAAUCUGCGGUUUCUAAUUUUCUUAGUGGUAUAUACUCUUCUGCUUUGGUGUGUUUGCUUUGUUCUAAAUUUUCUCAGUGCAUUACAAAUAACAAUCUUGGUUUUGUGGCUUCGCUUUGGUUCGGGGAGUGCCAAUUCCGGUUUUGAUUGGUUGGUUAAAGCAACAAUUGCAAAGUUUUGGUUUAAGGCAAGUCCUUUAUGUUGCGUGACAGUGAAUACUUUUGUGUUGAGUAGUUUAGUAAUGCGUUCUUUCCAUGGUAAUUUAUUAGCUAUGUGCUCUUUUUAACGACGCAAGGCAACAGCUAUCUUUAAGGAGAAUCUUCACACCACUAUUCUGGUGUUUCUCCUCUGGUGGGGAGGUUUUGGCUUUGCUUCUCUUCUCUGAAAUUGACACUCUUUUUACAGCUGAACCUUUCGUUGUCUUUAACUUGGUAGUCUGUGGAACUCUUGUGCUAGCCUCCACGCUUUAAGGAGAAACAAAAUCUAGAGUCACCUUUAUACUCUUAAACAGUUUGCAUAACAUUUGAUGAGAUGUUUCUCAAAAGUCCAUGGCUUUAUAUCUGUAUAUGGAAAAACAUACAUCGACCAUAAGCAAAGUAAAUAAGAUAGAUUUUGAAUAAGGGAACUCUUUUGUUAGGUCAUAGAGCUUGUUCCAACGUCAAAUUAUGAUUCACAUUGUCUGUCUUUUAUGCAUUUUGGUUUGUUUUGUUUUGUUGAAGAUGAAAGUGUAAUGAGCAUUCGUCAAUCGUUUCUUCUCACGUAUAUUAUGACUAUCCGAGUUAAAGAUGCUAAUUAACCAGAGUAAAACUUUGAAAGCUGAUUUAGAUUUUUCAGAGAAGAGAACUCUGUGUAGUAAGAAGCAUUUGAGAUUGAAGAAAAGAACUAGUUCAUUAACAGUUUUGGUUGCACUAGGAUUCCCAGAGUUAAAAGAUGCUUUUUGGUUGCUUACCACAGUAAAAAGAUUGAGACUUGAGUUUGCAAGAGAAAAGAACAACUUUUUAACAGUUAGAAACAUACAGUAGUAAAACUUUGAAAGCUGCUAUUCAAAUGCUAAAUUAACCGCAGUAAAACUUUGAAAGCUGGUUUAGAUUUGAGACCUGAGUUACUAAACUUUAUAAUGAACAGAAACAACAUAUACUAAACAGAGACUUUAAACAGGAGACAUACUAGACCUUCAUGAAUAUAAAGUACGUACUAAACCUUAAUGAACGGACACUAAACUGAAAGAAGUCUGUCGAUUUCUUCAACCCCAAGACUUUGGUCAGAGUUCUCUUAACGGUCUUUGUCUUCCAGAACCUCAACUUCAAAGGCUUCUUGUCUGAAACAGCAACAUCAUCCGUCGCUAGUUUCUUCUUGGAACCUCUUCGUCUGAUUCUCAACUUGAACAGGUUCGACAGAAACGAGUUACUUGUCUUCUCCUCUGUUGUCUUCUCAUCCUCUUCUUCAACUUGUGGACGAGGCAAGAAGGGAUGAAGCAACAACUCAUGCGCGCUUCCUCUCUCCUCAGGGUUCCUCGAGAAACACGUUUGGAUAAAGUCCUUUGCAUCACAAGGAACCGUUUCAGGUAUCUCUGGAGAUUUACCAGAGAGGAGACGAGUAGCGAUCUCAUCUAGUUCGAGGCCUUCCCAUGGAAUCACGCCCGUGUACAUCUCCAGAACCAAACACCCCACCGACCACAAGUCUAGAGACACGUGGGCGAUGCCGUCACGGACCGACUCGGGCGACAUGUAGAUCGCAGUCCCAAGCCACGGGAAAUUAAUUUCCCAACACAGGGGAACCUCUCCUAUCUCUAACGCGUUGCCGAAAUCACAAAUCUUGACCUCGUAUGAAUUUUGUCUCAAAGAGGAAGAAGGGAAGACGAGUAUGUUGUCUGGUUUGAUGUCGCAAUGAACGUAGCCAUGGUCGUGAAUCGAGACCAAACCUUCGAGAACCAUCCGUGUGAAAUCCCUGAUCAACGGUUCAGGCAACUUUCUGUCGGCGUAAUUGUUCAUGAAAGCGUGGAGACUACCUUCGGAAGCAAACUCGAGUUGUAGUUUGUGGAGUUUCUCCCCGAAUCUGCUGAAACUUUGUUGGAGAGAGUCUCCGAGACAUGUGACGAUCCUGGGACAUCCCUUGAGUUGGAGAAGAACGUGGAACUCUCUUUGGAGAGCGUUGUAGUCUUCUUGGUAAGAGUUCUUUACGGCAGAGAGGUAGAAAGAGUUGUCGUCGGGAUUAUUGUAGCGGACGAGAUUAACAAAACCAUAAGCACCUUUGCCUAGUAACUUGACGAAUUCUUCUUUCGUUUGCAUCUUUUCAAUCGGGUUUUGACACAGAAUCGUUGUUCGGAAACGUUGAGAGAAUUAAAAAUAGGAAACUGUGGCGAAGGAGAAGUGAUUUCAGAGUGUUAUAUAGAGAGUUGGGGUUCAGUUAAGUCGGUGUUGCAGACACACGGAAAAAGGAAAAUUGAAUAACAUAAUUUCCUUUUCUGAGAUACUUCAAAAAGGAAAUUCGAAGCGCUGGCCAACGGUUGAAAAAAGGAAAAGAAUUCGAAUUUUUGGUCAUUUAUAAUUAAAAUGUCCAAAUUUAUAACAAUAAAGAAUUUGUCCACGAUUUAGUUAAUGCUUUCAUAUAAAUUUUUAUUCAUGUCGUUUAAUGCUUAAAAUGUAGUUUGGAAAAAUAUAGGAUUAUAUUUAUUUUCAAAAUUUUAAAGCAGAAAAUGGUAUUUGUUUUGAAACUUCCUCAUUAAACAUAAAUGCUGACAAUGUUAAAAGAACAUAGUGUAUUUGUGACAUCUAAAAAAAACUAUAGAACUUCUAGUGGAAAAAUGUUUAAAAUAGUGACUAAACUUUUUGGCUAUAAAUUUGUUAAGCAUGACAAUUUACCUGAAUUCAAAAACAUGUUCACUAGAUCAAAAUAACCAAAACCGGACCAAAACUUUCAAAUAUUUGGAUACUUCUUAUACUUUUAUAUUCAAAAUAAUCAAACCAAAAAUUAAAUAGACAUCUAUAUAAAAAUAAUUUGAGUCGUUUGAUAUAAUUCGAAUCAUCCUAAUUACUCAAUAUUUUACUGAAUCAAACGAGACCUCGGAUCACAAACAAUUUCUAGUUUUACUAUCUAAACUAGUCCAAAAACGAAACUAUCCGAACUUAUUCAAACCAAGAAGUUGGCAGUUCCUAAAAAUACCUGUUCAAAAUAUCUGAUACAUGUAAUAUCUCACACGAGCCGAAUCGACACCCGAAAUGCCCUAGUCUAAUUUUGUAUUUGAUUUAAAAAAAUCUAACUUUUAAUACACAAAAAAAUUCAGGCUUUGUUUUAGAAAUUUGAAAGAUUUAAUUAAAAAUUGUUGCUAUAACUAAAAAUGUAGUAAUAUUAUAUAUAUAUACUUAUAUAUGAUAUGUAUUAGUUAAUAUUUAGGAAAUUAACAAAUAUGAUAAAGCAAUAAACUGAUACAAUUAAUUAGAUUUAUAAAAUGAAAAUAAAAAUAUCUUAUGUUAAAGAUUUAUUGUUAAAUAGUGUUUUUGGAAUUAUUUUCAUACUUUAGUAGUAUAUCAUGACUCAUUUAAAUCAUAAUGGAGAUGAUGUAAGGGAAAUUCUAUCAAAUAGCUAUUUUUAAGUUUUUGUCACAAAAAUAGUCCUCACGAAAGAAAAUGAUCAAAAUAAUCUUUUUUUUUAUUUUAAAAAUUUUAAUAUUUAUUUUUAUUUUUCAAAAUUUGAAACCCUAUUCCCAAAACCUCACCCCUUAACUCUAAACCUUAAUUCUAGAUUAGUUAACCCUAGGAUAAAAAUACAUUUUUAUCAUUUAGUAAAACUUAUUUCGAUCAUUUUCUUCGUUAGAGGUUAUUUUUGAAAAAAAAACUUAAAAUGACUAAUUUGAACUGAAUAUAUAAAAUAAAUAUAAAAAACUUCAUUAGAGGCUAUUUUAUUCAUGAGGAUUUUUGUGAAUAAACUCAAAAUAAAGCUAAAUCGAUAUCAGUUUGAACCUCAUGAGUCCCUCUUAAAGUGUUUUUCAAAUAUCAAAUACCUUAAAAUUUGUUUGAAUGUGGUAAGAUGAUCCAGUAUACUCCUCUUAGUGUUUUGUUAUCAGUGAAAUCACUGAAUGACCAGAUAAUAUCGUAAUUUGUUGGCUGGAGUCAGCUUAUUAUAAGUUUUGGUUCGAUCCUUUUAGAAAUAGUAAAUGUCGGUUCGGUUCAGAUCGAAUCGGUUUGGUUCAACAAAACAAAUCAACACCUGAGUCCCCCCCCACCACCACCCAAACGCCUCCAUAAACCUCAUGUGCUUUGUUCAGAGGAUCUCGUCUUCUUCUCUUUCUAAUCGAAAAUGGGAACGUUGGGACGAGUAAUCUACACUGUGGGUAACUGGAUUUGCGGGUCUGGGCAAGCUCUAGAUCGCAUCGGUUCUCUUCUUUAAGGGAGUCACCGCUUGGAAGAACACCGUGAGCCACAUUCAAACCCUAGAUCCAAAUCCACAUCUCUAAUUUGUCGCUUACAAGAAAAGAUCUGUUCAUAUUCGAGAAAUUGGUGGUCUAAUUUAGGCUCUCGUUUUCCAUUGGUUGUUGAUGAGUGUGUUUGACAUCUUAUGUUACCUGCGGACAAACAUAUAUCAAUUACCAUUUCGAUUAAAAACUGUUGAACCAUGACAGAGAUCAACAUUGCAAUACUCUCGGAUUACAAUAGACAAUAACAACCGUAAUUUUCAGAAGAAAAAAAAAGAAACUGAAAACGAAGAUGGAGGGCAGAGAGAUAACCAUUUAGGGAGCUUCGGAACGCGAGUAUGCUAUUGAAGCUAUCAAAGUAACUUCUCCAUUACUCUAAGCGACUAUGUGAUAGAUUCCCUAGAAAUUAUCUGCAUAGAGCAAGACUCAAAGUUGGAGUUAUACUUCACUUGUCAUUAUGUAAUCAAGACAGGAGGUGUGUGUUUCCAUUGAUUCUCGAGGUUCUACAAAAAAAUGGUGUAAAGACAAAUGACGGAGUUGUUCUUGCAGUCGAGAAGACUAUCACGUCACCGUUACUGGUAAACUCUCCAUGUGAGACUUUUGGUGGGUUCUGCUCUUUGCUUUUUUAAAGUCUCUCCUUCUUUUUUUCAGAAGCCGGGCAGUCUGGAGAAAAUCAUGGAAACUGAUGACCAUAUAUGUUGUGCAAUGACUUGUCUGAUUGCUGAUGCAUGUAAUACUUGUUGAGCACGCACGAGAGGAGACUGAAGUGAGACCGCUCUCUGUUCCUACUUCCUAAUCAGCUCUGCCUAAGAAGGGUCAUAACUUUUUCUUUUUCUUUUACUUCAGACUUAUGAUUUUUAUGAUGGGAUCAUUUGUAAACACGAUUCAGAUUCACAAUUGAAUUGAACGAAAUGAAAACAUAGUUUUCUUAAAUUGACACUUGUCCUGUUUUUUAAACCUGAUCCCCCCUGCACAAAGUUAUGUAUUGAUUUUGGCCUUGUGAGUUGUGGCAUAAUAUGAGUUAGACCACUUAACUAGUACCACUUUUAGUUACAACAGUACAUGCGGCACCAAGCAAGGAUUGUGUCUUUAAAAGGAGGCGUUAUGAAUUUACCUCUUGAUAGAGUUAUAAGCGCAAUGACAUUAGAGUUUGGAAAGAUUUGUUUUGGUGAGAAGAAUAACAAUACAUGCAGUUUGAUAGGAAUAGUUAACAUUUUCUUAAGGAAUACAAUAUUACAUCAAACCAUUUCAUAAAUGUUAAAGUAAAGAUAGAACUCGGAUCAGACAUAACGGUUGUAAGGGAUACAAAUCAGAUCCAUCCAACCAUUUCCGUUGAUAAAGGUAUAAACCGAGUACUUCUGAGCUUCUUCGUCCGUCAUAUUGGGUUUGUACACAGUCUACACGGUUGCUAAGACCCAAACCCCAGUUCCAGUGUUCUUGUACUCUCCAUACCUCAACGUCCUAGGGUUCCAUGUGAUCCAACCCCUCGGCUCAACCAUGUCUCCUAAAAACAUCUUCAUAACAAGAACCGUUGCAAACGGCUUCCAAGGUCAUCCAAGUUACAGAGCCGGCUCAGAGGACAAACCACACAAACCAUCGUUUAGUGCAUACAAUACGAGAAAACAUAAUAUAUUUAUUAAUAAAAGUUAUAUAAAUAAUACUAAUAUUUUUAUGAUUAUUAUUAUUAUUAUUAUUACUAUCAAAUAAAUACAAAUUAUGUUUAUAAACUUAAUAAAAUUAUAUAAAAUAUAAGUAAAAAUUAUUAAAAAUAUAAGUAAAAAAUAUAUAAAACAUAAGAAAAAAUAUUAUCUUUUAAAUGUGAGAUGUUGUAUUAACAAAUGAUUUUAGUAAUUACGACUGAUUAUAGUUAAAAUGUUGCUGAUAAUAUUAACAAAUAUUACUAUACAAUUAACUUUAUAAAAUUAUAUUUAAUAAUUAUUAAUGAAGUUGAAUUAGUUUAAAGUUUUUUGUGAUAUCUUAUAUUUUACAUAUAUAUAUAUAUAUAUAUUAGGAAAAAAUGUAAAUAUAUGUUGUUAAAAGUUUGUAAGGCAUCUAAAAGUGUUGGACCUUGUUAUGGCAUGUUCGUGCUGUUGAAAAUCACGAAGCCUGGGAAAUAAUUUGUAAGGCAUCUAAAAGUGUUGGACCUUGUUAAACGAACAGAGGUAGGGGUGGACACUUUACCCGAAAUCCGAAGUGGCACCUAAACCCGAUCUGAAAAACCCAAACCGAAAUCCGAACCGAAGUAGCAAAAUACCCGAACGGGUAUUAAAUUAGGAGAGAUUGGAUAUCCGAACCCGAACGGAUAAUAUCCGAACCCGAAUGGAUAUCCGAAGAUAACCGAACAUAUAUAUAAUUAACUUUAUAUUUCUACUUUACAUCUCUCAUUUUAUAUAAAACAUUUAUAUUGAUAUUACAUAUACUUUAAGUUCAUAUGAUAUAUAUAUAUAUAUAUAAUUAUGAAAAAAAUGAUUUGCUACUCACUUAAAAUGCAUGUCAAGUUUUUUACUUCAAAAAUUAACAAAAAGUUACAUCAAAAUUUUAAAAACAAUAACUAAAUUAAUGUUUUUUUAGUUUUAAAAUGUUAUGUCCAAAUCUAUUAACCAUUCAAUCUAUUAAAAAUAAAAAAUAAGUUAAGUGAAAUUUAUAUUUUUAAAUACAAGAAAUUUGAGAAAUUAAAAUUGAAUUUUUUUCUUUCAAAAUCUAAAUAUCCGAACCCGAUCCGAAAUAACCGAAACCGAACUAAAAAUACCCGAACCCGACCCGAAGUACAGAAAUAUCCGAACGGGUUCUACACUUGUAUACCAAAAUACCUGAAAAUCUCAAAUACCCGAUCCGAACCCGAACGGGUAUCCGAACGCCCACCCCUAAAGAUGGAUAUCGUAAUUUGAUGGCUGGAGUCAGCUUAUUAUAAGUUUUGGUUCGAUCCGUUCAGAAAUAAUAAAUGUCGGUUCUGUUCAGAUCGAAUCGGUUUGGUUCAACAAAACAAAUCAACACCCGAGUCCCUCCCCCCACCCAAACGCCUCCAUAAACCUCGUGUGCUUCAGAGGAUCUCGUCUUCUUCUCUCUUUCUAAUCGAAAAUGGGAACGUUGGGACGAGUAAUCUACACUGUGGGUAACUGGAUCCGCGGGUCUGGGCAAGCUCUAGAUCGCGUCGGUUCUCUUCUUCAAGGGAGCCACCGCUUGGAAGAACACCGUAAGCCACAUUCAAACCCUAGAUCCAAAUCCACAUCUCGAUUCGAGAAAUUGGUGGUCUAAUUUAGGCUCUCGUUUUCCAUUGGUUGUUUUGAUGACAGUAUCGAGGCAUCGGACGUUGAUGAGUGUGUUUGAUAAAUCACCAUUGGUGGAUAAGGACGUGUUCGUGGCUCCGAGUGCCUCUGUUAUUGGUGAUGUUCAGAUUGGGAAAGGCUCCUCUAUUUGGUAUGGCUGUGUUCUUCGAGGUAAAGGCCUUUUCUUUCCCACUAAAUCCUUUAAAAUGUUUUGUCUUUGGUAGCGUUAAGGCAAAGCCAAAUGAUAUUUGGUUGUUGGGAAUAGUAUGUCCCCCACAAAGACUUAAAAAACAAGAUUUGAUAUAAAUUGCAAGCCAAGUAUCAAAUUUGCAGCAUUAUACUUUGCAAGAUCGUGUGCAUUCGUUACAGUUUAGAUCUUUGCUGAUUUACUUGAUUGUCCUUUUCAUUUGAAGGUUCUAGGUUUAGUGUAUUCCUGAUGAGACGUUGUGAAAUAGCUGGAACUCAUUGUAACUUUUGUGCAGGUGAUGUGAAUAACAUCAGUGUUGGAUCUGGGACCAACAUCCAAGACAAUUCUCUUGUACAUGUUGCAAAAACCAACUUAGCUGGGAAGGUUUUGCCUACUACAAUUGGGGACAAUGUCACAGUAGGUAAACUUCUAAAACUGAUUUAUCAGCUUUUGAGAAUCUGUUUUAUGUAAUGUGUUCUGUUGCAUGAUUCUUACUUAAAAUCUUUGUGUGUAAAAAUUAAACCGAGCAGGUCAUAGUGCUGUCAUACAUGGUUGUACUGUUGAGGAUGAGGCUUUUGUUGGCAUGGGUGCUACACUACUCGAUGGUGUAGUGGUUGAGAAGCAUGCCAUGGUUGCUGCUGGUUCCCUUGUGAGAGAGAACACACGAAUCCCUUCUGGAGAGGUUUCUUUCUAUUCUCUUUUUCUUUUCUGGUUUACUUUCUACUGCGUUUGUGAUAAACAUAUUGACAAGUUAACAAACAAUUCAUGUGGCAGGUAUGGGGAGGAAACCCAGCAAAGUUCAUGAGAAAGUUAACAGAUGAAGAGAUAGCAUAUAUCUCAAAGUCGGCUGAGAACUACAUCAACCUCGCACAUAUUCACGCAGCAGAGAACUCAAAGUCAUUUGAAGAGAUCGAGAUUGAGAGAGCGCUUAGGAAGAAGUAUGCACGCAAGGAUGAGGAUUACGAUUCAAUGCUUGGGAUUGUCCGUGAAACUCCAGCGGAAUUGAUUCUCCCCGACAAUGUCUUACCGGAGAAAACUACCACCAGGGUUCCAACUACUCAUUACUGAUUCACCCGCCUCAGGUUGUUUUGCAGACAAAGAUUGAUUAAGUCAAGAGAGAUAUUAUCUUUUGGUUUUGCCCUUUUUUUCUUCCGAGUAAGCAUGGGAUUUGUUAUAUUCUUGCUCAAUAAAGCCGAAAAGAACAUGUACUGUUGCAUUAUGUCACAUUUGUUGGAUGAAUAAUUGCAUAAAGAAAAACGAUUUGCAUUCAUUGUGUUCUUCUCUUUUGCUGAUGAUGAUGAAAAUGAGUUUGGUUUCAAGGAUGAAUUAGUGUAUAGAGAUCAUGAUUUCUGAAUCCAAGUUAUAAACUAUUAGGACUUGGUGUUUUGGUUUAGUUUUUUGAGUUCUUAUUUUGCUAUUAAGACUUGGUGUUUUACUAUUUAAGCAAGGUUUUUUUUUUGCAUUGGUGUUGCUGUUUUGGACUAAAAUGUGGUUGAUUUGGUGUGUUUGGUUCUAGCAUACAUAUUUUACAAAGAUGCUGAUGAACUUAAAGUGGGACUAUAAGAUGGUUUGAAUACGUUUUCUAUAAUGCAUACGCAUGGCAUUUGGCUGAGUCUCAAGACCAAACCAAGCAUUGCGUGACUAAUAACAGAGACAUCACUGGAAGCUGACAAACAAUAUUUGGUCAGUGGAACGAGCAGGACCUGUGUUGCCUUGUCCCAUCCACAGACCACCGCUUAUCAAUAAUCCAGACAGUUCUCAGGGAUAUACCGAUUCGUAACAUCUAAUAAGAUGGCACCAGCAUAAAUUCUAAACAAAACAAACCUGAUUCAGUUUGCUUAGGUAAAAACUAUUACUGAAAAUUGUAACCUCAAAAAAAACACACAAAGAUUUCACGCUGAGUAAAAAGCAAAAUACUUGGGACAUAGACUGAUUUUUAAAUUCAGCUUGGAACUUUAACACCAAAGAGCUAAAGACGGACACAGUUAUAAUUCCAAAGUUAUUUGUGAUCAAACUCUAACACUCUCACUUUCUCACAUUUCCAUUGGUGCAACAUCCUGAUCACCUGCACCACCUUGUUCUGCAGCAGCAGCUUCAGCCUCGGCCUCACCACCAUCCUCCUCUUCCUCGGGAACGUUCUCAAACGUAUCAAUCACCUUCUGUAUGCUAUCCUGGUCCAAGAAAUGGAAUGGUUCAUCGACUCCUAGAACAGAAACGGUGCAGAGCGAGCUCUUGAGUGUCUCCCCUUGCAAAGUUUCCCUUAUGGCCAAAAUAGCAUCUUUGAUCAGAUCUUCUCUUGAUGACUCAUUGAAGCUCUCGAAUCUUCGUUCUAGAUAAGUUUUCGCAGCUUGUGAACGUGACCCGAUGGCGAACGCUUGGUACUCAAAGUAGUUUCCGCUGGGGCAGUUGUAGUAGAGGUGGGCUCCUGACUCGUCCAGUCCCCCUACCAGCAAACCCACACCAUAAGGUCGUUUCCAUGACCGUUGGGUACAUACCUGCUCAGAAAAAAAGUAUGAAGAGGGUAAACACAAGAUCAACAAACAAGUUCAACGAUCAAUAAUACCAGAGUUUUGUUCAAAGUACAAGAUUAAUAUAUGAGGCUUAUGGUCAGAAAUCAACCGAGAAAAAUGUCAAUAGAGCAGCUAACUAGACCUGUUGAAGCUGUGAAUACAUUAUUAAACUUAGAACUCUAAAUUAGACGCCAAAGUGAACAUAUACCACAAAGUUUCUAUUGCAAUUGUAAAACAAGAUCGUACUGGACGAGCACAAGAGAGGGUGAGUACACACCACAAGUGAACACACACAAAGUAGCGCAAGUUGAAACCACAAAAACCAAAAAGAGAAGAGCGAAGACUGUAUAUCCAAUUUUGCUUACAAAAUUGAAGAUAACAAAAGAUGCAAACAGCAACAAACACAACUAAAGUAUAAAAGCAGGCACAUUCUUAUACAGUUAUAUUGCCUCAAGUUGAUAACUUGUACAGCAUUCCCUUGUUAUAUUUUUGUUGGUAAAAUUCAAUAUUCGAACCCAUGACCUCUAGCACAAAACUAUGUCACACUGUCUAAAGUCAAUCUCUUUUGUUGUAUGUAAAAUUCAAUAUUCGAACCCACGAACUUGAGGUUUGGAAUGUUAAAGUGUUCUUAUCACAAAGCUACUAUGGUCACAUUGGUCUAAAGGCUAUGUAUGUCUUUUUUGUAAAAUUCAAUAUUCGAACCCAAGACCUUGAGGUUUCAAACGUUAAAGUGUUCCUACUACCACAAAGCUACUAAAAAGGCUAUAUCUUUGUAACUCAAGAGGCGGCGAGAGGAGGGAAAGGAGUAAACCUGGGCCUUAUCAGCAAGACGAACGACGAGGCGGCCAACAGGGAGAGGAGACUCAUAGGUGAAAGAGUGAUUGAUGGAUUCAGAUCUCAUGUAACGCGAGAGCACACGGCCAUCGGCGGUGAGUCCAGCGAUGGCGACACCGAUGUGGUCAUCGACUUUGAAGAUCUUCCUUUGGUGAGAAGAGAGCUCCGACUGGGCUUUAUUGACGGAGGCGAGGACGACAUGGGAGCGAGAUCUGAGCCCGAUUGCGGCGGAGCCUUGCUUGACGGCUUCCAUGGCGUACUCUACUUGGAAAAGACGACCGGUGGGACUCCAUGUUGUCACGUCUGUGUCGUACUGGUUCCUGAACAUCCUUGCUUCUUCUUCUUCGUCUUUGUUCGUCAAAAGAGUGUGUAUAGAGAGAAAGACGCAGUGAAAGAGGAAAAGCUUUUCGUUUGGUUUGGUUUGGUUUCUCUUUGAAGGGACGUAGAUGGGCUCUUAUAAGACCUAGAUGGGCUUACAUAAAUCUAAAAUGCCCAUAGAAAAUAGAGCAAUUGGCGUGCAUUGCAGAAAAUCAUGUAAACAAAUGCUCAAGUCUUAUUUGAAACUGAGUAUAAUUGUGGUUAUUUACCAUUUAAUCAUUUCUCUUUCUUAUCGCUACUUCCUACUCCCUAGAGUUUAACUUAUAGCAAGAGCCGGCCUUGGAAACAAAACGAAGCUUGUGUUUCUGGCCGCCAAAUAUUAAGAUAAUAACCAGCCACAUAUGGACAGUAAAUUCUCAGUAGCAUAGUGGUUGGCGUGUGGUUACAAGUAUUACAGGGUAGCAUAUUACUUGUAGUUGGCUUUGCUUAUAGCAGACUAGUAAUAUUUAUAUAAUAUUUUAGUUAUAUAUUUAUCUCAUAUUUCAUUUAUAACUAGGUGUUUUUAGCACUAUGUGCAGUAAUAAUUUUUAAAAAUUUAAAUCAUCUUUAAAAUAAAUUUUAUUAACAUUUUAGAUUUUAUUAUUUUUACCAAUAUUUUAAUAUAAAUUUAAUUUAAUUAAACAUAAAAUUAAGAUAAAAUACUGUUUUCUUUAUUUUAAAUUAUAUUUAAGAAUAUAUAUAUAUAUGUAUAUUUUUAAAAUUUUAACCUUAGAUAUAUUUUUCACUCUAUUUUUUUUUUGGUUAAAAAUAUUAAUCAACUAUAAAAUUAAUAAAAAAAUGAUAUAAAAUUAUAUCAUUAUCAAAAAUUAAAACUAAACAGUAUUUAUAAAAUUUAUGGGUAUAUAAAAGAAACUAAUGAUACUAGGAUUAAAAAAUUAUAAGUUUUUUAAAAAUUGUAGAAAAUUUUACAAAAUUUAGUAAUAAAAAUUAUAUAAUUCUAAAAAGUAAAUUACAUAAUAUUAUGCAUAAGCCAUGUCAUCAACUUUAGUAGCUAUGUCUCAUUUUUUAUGUAAAAAUGAUUGUAGAAAAUGAUUGUACGUAGAGAGAACAUGUGAUAAAUCACUUCUAAAAUAAUGUCUAUGGGAUCUAAUUUUCUCUUUCUUUUUCAGGUGCUUUUGUUCGACAGAAUUACAAAAGUUAUAAUCACUACUGAAGGAAAAGAUGAAGAUGUUGUCCUUAAUAUGUAUGUAGUCAUCCUAUUUUUCUGCUCAUUUCGAUAUUUUUUUCUAUUCUCUAAGUAAUUUUCUUUCGCACCUCAUGUGAUCUUAGUACUUAUAAAAUCAAAUUUGUGUCUAUUUGAUAAAGACUGGAAGCAGUUAAAGGAGAGAGAGGAGCUGGCUGUGAAAGCCAAAAGGUUUGAUGAUAGUAAUGAUAUCAUAAAUUGUUUUGUUGAGUUUGAAUUAACUCAUUGUGCCGAAUUGGCUCAAUUUGUUUAAAAAAAUGAAGUCAAUAUAUUUUAGAUUUUAUAUAUAAGAAUGUUUAUUUUUACCAGGUAUGUGUUUUUAAUAAUUGAAGGUUGUGUAAUUUUAUAAAAGGAUAUCACUUACAUUUUUUAGUCUAAAUUACAUAUAAAAAUGAUGAUUAGGUAAAUUUGUUGAAAAAAUUAAGUAUAACUUGUAAGUUAAUAUCAAGUUGACAUGAAAUACUCUGAUUUAACCAUAUAUUCUAUUUAAAUAGAAAUCAACAUAACCUUUACUCUGACCUCAGUGGAUUCUUUCAUCAACGUAACUUCACGAACAUGGAAUACCAGACAAUUCUGUCUUUGGUAGAUCCCUAGGAUGUGAAUAUUAUUGAAAGUAUACCAUUGAGCUUGACUCGUAUAACAUACAGAGAUGGAUGUCAUUUUACCAAUAAUGGAAAAUACACUGUGAAAUAUGGAUAUCAAGUGGAACGAUUUUUUCCCGACAGAGAAAAAGCGCACUGAAGGCUUUUUGUUGGAAAGUAUGUUACUCCCUAAAAAUAAAACACUUCCUUUGGCAACUAGUAUCAGAAUGUAUAUAUAGCGGUUAAGAAAAACUUGAGAGCGAGACAUAUUCAGUGUGAUAUAUAUUGUGUCAGACAUAGAGCAAUUGAAGAAACAAUAAAUCAUGUGUUUUUUAAAUGUCCUCCAGCGGUGCAAGUUUGGGCACUUUCAUAGAUCCCAUCAAAUCAAUAUAUUUUUCCGGUUCAAUCAUUCUUUACAAAUAUGAAUCAUCUGUUUUGGAUAGUUUCUCCGCAUAUGGAAAACCAUAAACUUGCUUAGGUUUUAUGGUACAUUUGGAGAGGACGAAACAACAAAGUUUUUAGUAAUUUGGAUACUGAUCUGAGGGAUACUCUCAAAUUGGCAGAGACAAAAUCAUUACUUUGGGCAGAGGCUCAAGAUACUCUUACUCAGAGGGUCGUCCAAUCUAGGGAUGUAGAAGACUCAAUUUUACCUUCCAUACCGAGAAGAUGAUGUUUUACGGAUGGAUCAUGGAAAGAAUAUGAAAGUCAUUCGGGACACAGUUGGUAUAGCAUGCUUGAAGGCUUUCAUGAACUGAUGGGAGCAUGCAAUACCAGGGCCAGUCUUUCACCCCUUCAUUCGGAAAUAGAGGCGCUUAUUUAGGCAAUGGAAUGUGAGAGGAAUUUAAGGCAAUAUCAUGUCAGUUUUGCAAUGGAUUGUUCUCAAUUGGUGAAGAUGGUUUAUGAACCAGAAAAAUAGCCAGCCUUUGCAAGUUAUUUGGAAGAUAUCAAGUUCCUAAAAUGAUGUUUCAACCAUUCAGACCUCAUUCAUAUACCUAGAACACAUAAUACCAGGCCGAACAGCCUCACACACAGUGCGAGGAGACAACCAUCGUUCGUCGUUCAUAUGGAUGCAGAAUUACCAGCUUGGUUUGCAGAGUCUUCAUGAGUCUGUUUAUGUCGAUGACAAAAAAACAUAUUUGAAGAUGAUAUUUUAUUUCAUUUCACUUGAUAUUAGAACAAAUUAUAGUUAUAUAAUCUUAUAAAAGGAUACCAAAAGCAUAUUCGACCUAUUAUAUAGAAACAUUGACUUAUUUUGAGAAGCUUAAAUACAAAUCAUAGUAAAUAUGUACGUCAAACUAUCUGUACUCUGACAUUUCUAGAUCCUCCAUAAGUUAAUGUCGUUGUACUCCAACUUCUCUAGAUAUUCUACAUUUUUUUAUUUAUAAAUACCAGUUACUUGAUCAGUUGAUGGAUAUGUUAUUUUAUUAAAAGAUAUUUCUAAAAGUAUAGUUAUGUGAUUGCACUAGUGAUUAACCAUUUUUUAGAAAGCUUGUCAUGUAUGGAUUGUUGGAUGUAAAAAGUCUACCCGUACAAGGAAACAUAAAAGUAGCUCUCUAAAAAAUCACAACAACAUAAUAUUGAAAAGGUUGUUAGCUGGAUAAAACUUUCUAAGUACAACUAAUAUUAAUUUUAAUUGUACUUAAAAGGUUUUAUCUGGUUAACAACCCCUUUCAAUCUUAAUAUAGUUUUCAUUUGAAAAUUGUGUCAAUUUGAACAUUUUGAUGAUCAAUCAUGCGCAUUUAUUAAAAGAAGGAAAGCUCUAGAUGCAUGUAAACUAUUAUUUUUAGUAAAAAAUAGUUACAAGGAGAAAACACUUUGAACAUGUGAAAACCAAAUGUUUUUCUGUAAACUAAUACUAGUUUAUUAUAUAUGCAUGUAACAUAUCAACCAAUUUUUGUGUGCAGAAAAAUUGUUAGAAUUAGUGUAAGCAUCAACUAAAAAUAGUUUUAAUAAUCAUGGUCAUAUCCACGAGAUCUAACAUCUUCAUUAGUGGCUUCUCAUGUCAACAACUUUUCCUAUGCCACAAUCACUGGAACCACCCACCACCACCACCACCCAUUUUAAUAAAGCUAUCAUCUUUUUACAUUCUAGUAAGGAACCAAAAUUGCAUCAGCUUCUCCAUUCCCUUGAUCCCUUUCACUCUCAUCAAAGAGAUCUUGUUGCGGAUUCCCUUAUCAAUCAUCCUUUUAAUCACUGGUAGUGGCAAUAACUUAUCACCAUGCAUAAGCUUGUUACGCUCUCUCCAUACUGCAUACAGAACUUCUUGGAAAGCAUAUCUUAUACAGAAGAGGCUCAUCUUUUCUCUUUUCUCAUCCAAUAGAAUAGCCAAGAUCUCAGACCAGAUAACUGUAUAGGAGUCUCGUAAAAUACCUUUGGCUAUAAACUCCCAUAUCUGUGCAUAGUAAUCACUUUCGAAGAAUAAGUGACUCCUCGUUUCUGCAGCAUUUUUACAGAGCACACAUGUAGUGUCCAGUCCCUGGCUCCAUCUUGAUGCUCUGUCUAAGGUCGACAUUCUAUCUCUUAUCAACAACCACACCAUGAAUGCAAACUUUGGAGUUUCUUGAGAAAACCAUAUACCCCGAGCCCAAGAGCAUUGUGUCUUACUCUCUCUGAGCAACAACCAAGUUUCACUAGUUGAAAAUCUUUGUUUAAAUCCUGAUUUCCCUUUCCAUAGACUCACAUCCUUUCUCUCUUGAUUUAGCUUUCCCCCAAUAAUAAUCAACUCCUCCUCUAUUUCAAUGAGUAAACUCAUACGGUGUCAUGCGUCUCCUUCUAGUAUUUAACACAGCUUCCUCCAAAGUCGCAACCCUACUCACUCCCAAGUCGAUAAUGCCUCGAGGCCCUAGCAAAUCAAAGAGAGCUCCCUUAUUCGACCAGUUAUCAAACCAGAAAGAUAUAUGUCUUCCAUUACCCAGCUAUUUCUUGUGAAACAUCUUUGCAACUUCUCUAAGUUUCAAUAUUUUACGCCACAUCCAAGAUCCAUUCUGAGUAUUGACGCUUAAUUUCCAGAAACUUUUCCCUUUCAGAAAAUUUUCUUUGAUACAUUUACCCCACAGCGAGUCACCCGAUAACAUUAUCCAUAUCAACUUAAGGCCAUAUACCUUAUUAACUUCCUUUAGAUCUCUUAGUCCCAGACCACCUUCACUCUUCAUACUACAGACAUCUCUCCACGCUACUUUGGCAUUUGACGACUUAAGUAUUGGUCCUGUCCAAAGAAAUGUUGCGCAUUGCUCCACCUCUUUAAUACAAGCACUUGGGAGACUAAAUACUACUAACCAGAAGUUUGAUUAGACUCAUUAAAACUUGUUUUAUUAACUGCAGUCUACCGGCAUAUGACAAGAAUCUGCACGUCCAAGAGCUUAUUCUGCUUCUGAUAUUUUCCAGUAGCGAAAGAUAGUCUUGCUUCCUCAUCACUUGGGUCAUAAGGGGGAGUCCCAGAUACCUCACUGGAAGUUCACCUUCAGCAAAUGGGAAGUUAGUUAAGAUACUCCUUUUCUCUGCCUCCGGUACUCCUGCCAUAUAUAUUGUAGAUUUCUCUAGGCUAAUUUGUAACCCUGACCACUCUUCAAACUCAUCAAACACAGAAAGGGGCUCCCUCUAUAGACUUUUUAGAACCUUCAACGAACACCAUUAAGUCAUCUGCAAACAAAGAUGUGUUCUAGAAAGCUUCUUACAUCCCGGAUGUAGUUUGAACUUCUUAUCAGCCACUGCUCUAUCUAUUUUUAAAGAUUGCACGUUCAUAUAGAGAACAAACAAAUACGGAGACAGAGAACAUCCCUGACGAAGACCCCUCGAGCUUUGGAAAUAGCCAGCUAGAUCACCAAUGACUUGCAGAGAACAGGAUGGGCUUGUGAUACAUAGCUCAAUCCAAUGGAUAAACCUUUCCGGGAAACCCAAUACCCUCAAACUCUUCAGAACAAACUCCCAUUGCACCGAGUCGAAUGCUUUAGCAAUGUCAAUCUUCAUAACACACCUUGAAGACACUGCAUCCUUGUGAUAACCCUUAACAAGCUCAGAUGCAAGCAGCAUAUUCUCCAUGAGAAGUCUACCUUGUAUAAAAGCCGGCUGAGUCUUUGUUAUGAUUCUUGGAAGUAGCUUCUUCAGUCGAUUUGCCAAAAAAAUUGACACAACCUUAUAGAGUACGUUACAGCAUACAAUAGGAUGGUAAUCUUUCAUCUCCAUCGAAUCAAAUUUCUUAGGAACUAACGCAAGAAUUGUCGAAUUAACACCCUUUGGCAAAAACCCAAAUCUGAAGACUGAUUGUACCGCAACAAUGAAAUCCUGAGAUAUAACCGACCAAGCUGUUUUGAAAAACCCACACGGGUAGCCGUCUGUCCCUGGAGCCUUGUUGUUCGGCAUAGCAAAGAGAACUUUCUGAAUUCCAUCUUCAGUAACUUUUGCUUCAAGAAUACUACAAUCCUCAGAUGAGCAACGAAACUUUAGCAAUUCCUGUAACUCCUCCUCAGAUGCACCCUUGUAAUUCUCUGGCUUGUGAUUUAGAAAUUCUGAAAAAAAAAUUCUCUGCCUCUUGCUUUAUCUCUGAAUGUUUAGUCACCACUCUUCCAUAUGUACAUCUUAUCUCCCUGAUCAUGUUCUGAGCUUGUCGGGUUUUGAUAGCUCGAUAAAACGUCUUAUUAUUCUUAUCUCCACUAUCUAGCCAAUGUAGCUUCGCUUUCUGCUUUAAGUAUUCUUCUUCUAGACUUGCCACAUGUAGGCAUUUACCAUAUGUUUAUGCCUCCUCUUUGACAGAUGCUUCGCUCGGAUUUGCUAGUGUGUUACUCUGCUUCACACAUAGCAGAUCAUACGCCUCUUUUGCUCGAAUUGUUAAGUUGCCCAUCUUAUCUCUUCCCAACUCACGAAUCAACGGCUUCAAAUGCUUUAACUUCUUUGAGAAUCUGAACAACGCCGAGGUAGAGUGAAACAGUCUUUUCGUUGUAUCCCAAUACCUCUGGACCAUAGGAAGAAAGUCAGGCAGGCUACCUAUCACAUUGAUAUACUUGAAGGGUCUUUUGACUUUCUCACUCGGAGGAAACAGUUGAACUUUGCACCUCAUGUGAUCCAAACAUCCCCCUGCUUCAAAAACUGCAUAAGCAUUACUAAAUCUUUGCAGACCCUCUUUAUUUAGUAAUACCCUGUCCAGCUUCUUGCAAAUUACUCCAUCCUCCCUCUUAUUACUCAUGUAAACUGUGGCCCUUGAUAAUGUCAGAGAGCUGACACUGAAGAACCAAACUCUGAAAGUCUCUCAUUCCACACGGGAUCCUACUCAUGUUAUCAAACCUCGAACUCUCAGCUCCAUCAAGAAUUUCAUUAAAGUCUCCCAUGAUCAUCCAAGCUUUAUUUUUGAAGCUAGGAGAACUAUGAUGAUGCACAAGAUCCUCCCACAAUUCCUUCCCACCCUCUACUUGAUUACUCACAUAUAUACAUCAGCAAUAGAACUUUUCUUCUCCUUUCAUCUCCACCAAACAAAUGACUAUCUGAUCAGAUUUAUAUACAGGCAUCAUACGAAUCGUAUCUCUCCAUAAUAACCAUAUUCUUCCUCCUUGGCUAUCUUCGUAAUUUGUUAUUGAUGACCAAUCUCCAAACAGUACUCCUCUUAAAAUCUUCCAUGCUUUCCCUUCCUUAACUCUAGUUUCCAAUAUACAACCAAACUUCAACUCCUUAUUAUAUUUACCCACUCUUUUACUAUGGAAUGCUUCAAAUCUUUAUUGAAUCCACGAACAUUCCAGAAAAAGCACGUCAUUUUUAAAGAUUUCACCGAGAAGACCUUUUACUCUUCGGCUGAACCUCAUGAGCCUUGGUCUUCUGAACUCUUCUUCCACCUCUUAGUUUUACUACCUUGUUUUUCUCUUCCAGGAUCUCAUCCUCCAACAAAUCUCCUUCCAAUAUAUUUGUAUUCUCCGCUUCCUCAUGUUCCUCACUCUCCACUUCCUGUGAUUCUUCUAGUUCACCCUCCUCAACUUCAUCUAUUGAAAGAACAUAAUACUUUGACGCCGAGAUUUGGACUUCACUAGCAUCUCUCUGCAGAGAAUUUUGCACUCUCCCUAUUUUAUCUGGUGAGACAAGUGACCAACCACUACCUCUCACCUGUUUUUCCCCAGUGCCUACCAUUUCAGCCUUAUUAACUUCUCCAAUAGAAUCAUCCUCCGAAAUGACUACCUCCCGGUUCUGUAACUCUUCCUCCUGUUUACUAUCUUUCUCCCUCAACCCUACUAUAGCUUCACUUCCCACUUUAUCACAAUUCUUCUCACCAGUUUCCUUCCCCUCUAUCUUCUUAUCUCUUUUCUUCCUCACACAAACCUUGUCUGUAUGUCCCCAUUUCUCGCACAAGUUACAUCGAGAAGGUAACCAUGUGUAAUAAAAUUCAGCAGUGAACUCCUUCCCUCCCAUUGUGAAAUCAAUCUCCUUAGGCAACGUCUUCGAAAUAUCAACAUUCACAAACACUUUCGCUUCUUCAUAUUUUGAACAAGACAUUGUCUUUGGGUGAAGACGAACAGGAAACUCCACAGUACUCGUCAUGAAGCUUCGAGCCUCCCAUGAGAACGUGUUCAGAGGAAUCUUUCUUAAAUGCACCCACAUUGGUAUAGCUUCCUCCUCCUGCUUAUCCUCUUCUACCUUAGGCGUCCAUUUCUUCACAACCAUAGGAACUCCAGCUAUAUUCUACAUUGGUAUAGUCUUCAUGGCUUUAGCUUUUGGCUUUUAUUAUUUCCUCUGUUUCUACGAUAGUUUCUUCUUUGCUUUCAACUGACCCCCAUAACCUAUGUUGCUUCCUGCUUAAUUAAAAAUCCAAUCAAUAUCCACCACUAAAUAGUCAAACUCUUACCGAGAUUGUCUUGUUGUGAACCUCAGCAACCAACCCAUGUGCUUGAUACCAUGUUAAAGUUCAUAGAAAGAACUUUAAAAACCUCAGCCUUCUUCUUAAUCGACAUUGAAAGAGCAUGAAAUAGUGUGUUGCAAGAGCUUAGCUUAAUGUAAACUUGAGUAGUAUCUGAGUUGAUGAAAAGCUGCACAUUUCUCACUUUGGUUUCUCUGACAUCCAAAUCAGUUGAGACCAAUAUAAAUUUCAAUGUGGUAUUAGUCAGGUAAUUGAAACCUAGAGAAGAAUAACACAUGAAAGGAGUCCAUCAGAGACAGAUAGGCUAAGAAUAACACAAAUGUUAAGUGUAGGCACAAUUCACACUACUUAACGCUUACACUUUGUAGUUCACCUAAAGGAUAAAAUAGGCUAAGAAGUGCCUCGUUGAAUGUUGUACCAGAUAUUUUCGGAUUAUUAACUGCAUAAAAAAGUUAGACACAUUUCCAAAGAGGAAAAGAACAUUACGAUGUAGUCUCUAUAUAUAUUUACAAAUGUCGUAUAUAGUAAAUACCAAGUAAUAUAGACAAAAACGAAACGGAAAGAAAAAGUUCUUGCGAUUCAUUUGGAGAAACAAACAUUGACACUAAGAGAAAUGGAUCUAAUAAAGUAAGAACCCUUAUCAUACAAUUUUGUUUUCCCUUGAAGUUCGGAAUGUAUAAACGGAUCUACGAAACCUUCAUGGUUAAGCUUCCCGUCCACCUUGAGGCGACGAAGUAGCAGUUCGUAAUAUGGCAUUCAAUCAAGGUUCCCACUACAUUUUCUUUAGUUCAAGCAACCGAUGUUAUUGGAUAACACCAACACAGAUUUUCGAGGUCUCUCAAAAUUGAACCUUUACCAGUUUUUCUUCUAAUAUUUUAUUUCAUCGAAACCAAAAAGGAAAGAAAAAGUUUUUGCAAUUCAUUUGGAGAAACAAACAUAUACAUGAAGACAAAUUCUAAAUAGAAAAAAAAACAAUAUUGGAUAAAAUAAAGGACCUUGAGAGCGUGAGGGGAUCACCAACAUCUGUCAAGCUCUGCAUCUAAGGUGGAUUGUUCUGUGUGGAUCCUAGAUCAGAGACAAUGAAUCAAAUCCAAAAAUCGGUGAAUAAAGUCAGCGGUUAAUCUUGAGAGCGACAACGACGGAUCUGGAAGUUCUGAUGUUAGAGACGACGAAUGGGCUUUAUAAAACAAAAACCAGACAUCGAAUAUAAGCAAAAGCCCAAAAAAAAUUAUAAACCUAAACAAAUAAAAUGGUGAGUUUUGUUAAAGCGGACAGGUGUCGCUCCCAGAACGCACGACUUAGUGACAUGGCAGCACCAGGAGGGAGCAAACAUCUUUUUAUAUAAUGGAUAAAAGAAAGGACCUUGAGAGCGUGAGGGCAUCACCAACAUCUGUCAAGCUCUGCAUCUAAGGUGGAUUGUUCUGUGUGGAUCCUAGAUCAGAGACAAUGAAUCAAAUCCAAAAAUCGGUGAAUAAAGUCAGCGGUUAAUCUUGAGAGCGACAACGACGGAUCCGGAAGUUCCGAUGUUAGAGACGACGAAUGGGCUUUAUAAAACAAAAAGCAGACAUCAAAUAUAAGCAAAAGCCCAAACAAAUUAUAAACCUAAAUAAAUGAAACGGUGAGUUUUGUUAAAGCGGACAGGUGUCGCUCCCAGAACGCACGACUUAGUGACAUGGCAGCACCAGGAGGGAGCAAACAUCUUUUUAUAUAAUUAGAUAAUUAGAUAUGCAGAUUCACUUAUCCACAAUAUGAUGUACACACAUGUUCAAACUCACUUUCCACUUUGUUUUAUCCAUGCUCAGGUGUCCAUUUUGUUUUGUCCACUCUCACUCAAACUUCAAUUUUAGACUAUCUACAAUGAGCUAUUGAAUAAUAAAAAAAAAUCAAUAGUUGAAAAGACAAUGGUCUAUUGAAAAACAAGUUGAAUCAUACUUAUAUUAAAUAAAUUUGAAAGAAUUUAACAAUGUUGAAUCGGUAAAGUGGAGCCAGAGUGAAGCCAUCAAUGACCACCUUUCAUGAAGUUAUUGGCUAUAGAGAUUUCUGAUUUGUUUUUCGUCUGAAUUAAUUGAGAUAAAUUAUUUCAUUAAAUAAUUUUGAAAAAAUAUAUUUUUACACCAAGAUUAUCAUGUUUCAUAUUUUAUAAAUAGAGACUUGCUCCAUUUAAUUUUGAAACAAAAAAAACUUAUCUAUUUCUACUAUAUUUUCUAGUAGACUACAAUAAACUCUUGUUUAUAUAUUUUCCCUUUUUCAGUGAAAUGAAUCCCAAAAAUAACUUUUUAACACCCAAAGUUCUACUAAUCAUCCUUUUAACUAUCCAAAUCCAACAACUAUCAGUUUUAAAAUAUUGGAGAAAUGAAUUGGUGCAUACGACAACGCUAAGUGUAUGCAGCAAGGUAUUAGUCGAAAAUGAUAUAUUGGCGCAUGAGCUAUAUUAGAGUGAUAAGAAUGGGCAUUUUAUUUAAUGUCAGAAUGAUGGCUCGCUGUCUGUGAUCAACCACGUUAUGGUAGUCAAGUAUGAGGAAAUACUGGUUUUGGAAGCAGUGGAUUUAAGAGAGCCCAUGAAAGUGAUGCUCGAAACUCCAGAUCUGUAAAAUUUAGUGCUCGUCCAAUGGGGAUGAAUGCAUAUAAGAAGAAAAAAAGAUAAAAAUAUGGGCUCUUACCAGCCUUGGAUGUGGUCAAUGAAAAUUUCAUUGAAUUCAAACAAAUCAAAGGGCAAUAGUUGUAACACUUGAAAAAAUUAGUCAUGUUGCAAAAGAAUUGAAACCAAAGGUGAAAAGAGGCAACCCAAAGGAAAGAAGAAGCAAACAAAUUAAUGAAAUAAAAGAUUCGGUCUACGAAUAUAAAGAUGUGGUUGAAGUCAAGUGAAAAGGUACAUCUCAGUAACAAGAGCAGAGAAAUGUCCCAACAGUUGAGCCACAAAUUAUUUGGAAAUUAAUUGUAGUCCCAAGUGGAUGUUUAUAUCAUGUCACUUCAUGCUUGUUUGUAUCAUGUCACCUCAUGCUUUAAUAAUGUUUGUUUGCUACUUUUUCUUUUAAUAAUGUAACAUGUGACUUUUGGCUUUUAUUGAGAAAAUCUUAUCCUCCAAUCACUCAACAUGCUUUAAGCAUUGAAUGUGGGGCAUAACAAAAGAAGAAAAAAAAUAACAUGCAUCGGACUUUACAUUUAGUUUUCAUUCAAACUUAAAAACGUAGAAUCAUUAACAAUAAUAAAAUAUAAAAGUACUUGCAUGAAGAAUAAACUUUUUUAUAAAAAUCUUUCCUACAGGAAAUGGUAAAAGAGUGGGUUGUCGACUCUGGGCACCAAUGCAUGUCUAUCUUUUUUUCUUUUUCUCUUUGUCUAUAAAAAUACUACACACUCUUCAUUUUCUUCUUUCAAAGGGCAUUCAUUUCAAAUGACAACUGCAUCUUACUAUUGCGAGAACCUUGCAAGAAACAACCCCCAUCCCCCUUCCGCCCAAUCAAGUACCAGUUGCUUCGCAGCGCGGGUAGCCUCAAAUCAAAAAUCUUCUCUACUCAUAAUUUUUUUUUAUUUUCUUGUUUUAUAUAAAAAUUUAAGAUGAAGUUUUAUAUUAUGUUUAACUGAUUUUUCAUAUUUUUUAAGGUUGUCUCAUAUGCUUCUUUCCACCAAACAAUUCAAAAAUCAGAUACAUUUUUUUUGUUUCUUCAAUAAAUUAUGAAACUUCUGAAUUUUUUAAAAUAAGUUAAAUUUCUAUUCGAUAAUACUCAGUAAAAAUCAACCUGUUAUUUACAAAUAUAUUAUAACAUAUGCAAGCAUUUCAAUCAUCUAUAUAAUUUUAAAUAUUAUCUAUAUAUAUAUAUAUUAGUUUUAUGAAUUUAUGCAUGUUAUUGAUAUAAAAAUAUUUUUUUAUAAUAAAUUUAUAUUUGUAUAGUUAAUUAAUAUUUUACAAAAUGAAAUAGUAAAUAUAAUUUUUAUUCGUUCAUAUAUGUACUAUAACACAUGCAUGUAUUUUAAUCUUAUGUAUAAUUGGUUUUUUAAUUUUUUAUCUUCAGUUUUCUCUUAUAUUAAUAUUUUAUUAAAUAUUAUGGUACAUAAUUAAUUUCUAUAGCGAAUUAUAAAUACUUUAAUAGGUAUAACAUUUGUUUAAAUCUUAUGUAUUGCAAUUUAAUUACAGUCAAUAAUUAUUACCCAUCCGUUUUGAUUUACUUGUUAUUUUAGAAAAUCACGCAGAUUAAGAAAAUUAAUAUUUUUUCUGUUAUACCCUUAUCAAUCAAAUUUAUUUACAAGUUUAGUUAUCUAUUUAAUAUUUUAAAUUAGUUGUAAGAAAUAAUUUUCUUGUCGAAUAUUUUGGCUCUUAGCAUUCUUCACCAAAUUAUCUUUAACUAUUAGUUCAAUGAAUUAAUUAAAUUGACUACAUACUCCUGUUAACAUCAAUAUAUUUAGAGGGAAACUAAAAUUUUUACGUUUAAUUAUACGCAAAAACAAAACAUAGUGGAGGCAAGUAAACAGUUCAAAACUUUUGACAAUCAGUAUAUAAACAAAUCGUGCGAUAACAAAAGUAUCAAUGGCUAAUUCUGGUCAAAACCUUUUUACAUUCAACAAAUAAAAAGCAUUAUUUUGAUUUAAAAAAUCGUGUGAUAACAAAAGUAUCAGUGCCAUUUUCUGUCAAAAAUAAUUACUGAAAAAAUAUAAAUAGGCUUGUUAUCUUUAGAUUAUAAACAGUCUGGGCAAUUUUAACAUACAUGUUGACCACAUUGGAAAAGAUAAGAAAAAUAUUUCAUUGUAGAAAAUGGCGGUUGAGAUGAUGUUAAACGAAGAUUUUUUGAAGUAUAGUUAGUUAAUUUAAAACAUUUUGUUAUUUUAUAUUAAAGUUAGAAUAGUUAUUUUCUUGUAUAAAUCAUAUUGAAAAACGAGAAUGACGCUUAAUUUGUGACAAAAAUCAAACCUAAAACGACAAGUAAAUCGAAAUGAUGGCAGUAAUAUAUAAUCAGAAAAAGAAACAUAUAAGAACGUAAAAUUAUGAAAAAAAAAUUGUAGGGUAUUUUUCAACAAACCAUUGUGAAAUAUAAAAAAUGAGUGGGUAUUGAAUUAUUAUGUAGACGAUAGAAACGAUGACGGGGAAGAGAGAGCAGAUAAUGUUGAGUGUAUGAAAUGUUGAAAUCAUUGUGGAUAAUGUUAGACUAUCUACAAUUGUGGGUAAAUUUACCACCCUCAUUUUUUUUUAUUUUUUAACACUCUAUAUCAUUUUCUCGUUUUUCCACCUAAUUAUUCAACAACAAUUUCAUUUUUAACCAUACAAUAGUUUUGUUUAAUAAAAUUCAACAUCAUACCCCAUAAUUUUUAAUUCAUAAGUUUUUAUUGUUUAUAAUUUAAACUAUAUUAAUAAUUUGAUUAUAAUUAACUUAAAUAAUUAAAGUAUCAAAGUUUUUACUAAUUUUUAUUUAUAUCCUUCACUAAGUUUUGAAUAUCAAUAGUACAACUAAUACUAUUAAAAUUCAACUAUGUUCUAAUUAACACACAAAAAAAAACUGCAAUAUAGUGAAAACAAUUAUUUUCUGGUGUCCAAAUCAAGGAAACCAAGUCUUUAUCUAUAGAAUAUAAAAAGUUAUGAAUUUUGAUAUAACUUAUUUUAAAAAACAUAUUAUUUGAUAUACAAUAAUUGAUCUUAAAAACUAUGGUGAAAUAAAAAUCUAUAAAAUCUAAACAACUACUAAUAUAAUGACAUGUGUACCAAUUCACUCAUUUUAAUUUUUUUUUAAAAACUAAAAAUUCAUUUUUGAUAACUUUUUAUUUAUUUAAGUGUGUCUUAUAGUGAUCAAGAUAACUUUGUGGGUUCUACUGUUGGCUCUUCCAACAGGUUGAAUCCACAUCAUAUUUUUAAGUUUUUCAACAGAUUCAUUGUGGGUAGUUUUACACCAUUAACAAUGAUUACAUGAUUCAACACCCUAUUUUCAUCUUUUUAACAUUCACAUCAUCUUCUCUCUCUCUUCCACACAAUCAUUCAACAACCACUUUAUUUUUGUAACAUCUACCAUAUUUUUGUUUAAUAAAUUCAACACUUUACCCACUAUUUUUUAAUUCAUAUUUUUAUCCUUUACAAUAUACUAACUAUUUAUUAAUAAUUUUUUAUUAUAAUUAAAAUAAAUAUUUAAAAGGACAAAACAAAUUACCAUUUUUUUCAAGUUGGAUAUUCAUAUAUUUUAAAAAAUAUAUUAUUAAAACAAAUGAAAUCAUUAAAAUUACUCAUACCACCAAGAGGUAUUGGCAUAGAUAAUUUAGAAAAAUCAGUUGCUACAAUAAUAUUUCAAAUAGAAAAAAAAUAAGGUGUUUGAGAAAAAUAAAUCAUCAUUGAUCGAUGAUAUGGAAGAUAGUUUGGAAAAAUGAAGACAUGAAGAAAUUUGGUGAAAAACCAUAAUUUGGUAUAUUUUUUGGUUAAUUGAAAAUUUAGUUUUGAAAUUGAUAAUUUUGGGGAUUUGGGUAAUUACAAAGAAAAUUAGAAGAAUUUCAGAUGUUAAAAGAAUUAUUAUCUCGAUCCAUUUAUCAAAAAGAAGAUUAAAAAACCAAAAUAGUUUAUUAGAGUGAAAAAUGACGUUUUAUUUUUUAUACCCAAAUGAAAUGAAAUUGAUCUCUAUUUAUAGAUCAUAACAAAUCACGAGUUUUUGUACAAUAUUUUUUAAAUGUUAUAACACCAAAAUAGUUGAUUAUAGUGAAAAUGACGUUUUAUUUUCUGUACCAAAAUUAAAUGAAAUUGGUCUCCAUUUAUAGAUCAUACAAAAUCACGAGUUUUUGUAUAAUAUCUUUUAAAUAUUUUAGUAUAAAAUAAAUGAGUUCAAAUUAUUGGGUAAUAUUUUUGAAAAAAAAAAGAAUCUGGAAAGCCACUGAGAAUCAGAUAUGUGUCUCUAUCUAAAUACAUCAUGAGUGUUAUACACGCGUCCAACAUUUUUUCUAAUUAAAAUUUAACAAGUGUCAAAGCUGCCCCAGAAAGAAAAAAAUUGGUUGAAUACUUUCAACUUUUAUGAAUCCACGUGUUUUAUUCCCAAAAUCAACACUCUGGUUGCACGUUGUUCAACAGUUGAAUUAAUAACUUAACAUGUUCACUUUGGAUAUUCUUAUAACAUUGGUUUCAUAUCUUGUUCUACAUCGUUGAUUCAUCACUUAUUCAAUAUUAACUUCCUGGUAGUCCAUUAAAUUAAGUCUCUAGUUUUUUUUGCAUAAAAUUUGAUAAAAUUUUGUGUCUAGUUACGACACAAUGUUCACAAAACUUUAUGAAUGUAUUACACAUACGAGCACAUUUAUGUUUUUCUUACAGAUAAAGACACAUUCCACUUAAGAAGCACAUUGUGUUUUAAUCAACGAGAUUUUUGACAUAUUUACCCUUGUUCUUGAAACAGAGUGUAGACGUUCCGUUAAUAAGACUACCUUUGUUUUAUUCCCAAAAUCAACACCCUGGCUGCACGUUGUUCAACAGUUGAAUUAAUAAUUUAACAUGUUCACUUUGGAUAGUCUUAUAACACUGGUUUCAUAUCUUGUUCUACAUCGUUGAUUCAUCACUUAUUCAAUAUUAACUUUCUGAUUAGUCCAUUAAAUUAGGUCUCUAGUUUAUUUUGCAUAAAAUUUGAUAAAAUUUUGUGUCUAGUUACAACACAAUGUUCACAAAACUUUAUGAAUGUAUUAAACAUACGAGCACAUUUGUGUUUUUUUUACAGAUAAAGACACAUUCCACUUAAGAGGCACAUUGUGUUUUAAUCAACGAGAUUUUUGACAUAUUUAUCCUUGUUCUUGAAACAGAGUGUAGACGUUCUGUUAAGAAGAAAUGAGAACAAUAAGUAACUAGUUAUAGCACUUGGGUAUUAAUAUUUUAUAUAAUUAUUAUAUACUACACUGUUUUAUGUAACGGAAAACAAACCAAAUGAAAAAGACAUAGUUUAUCUUUAUUAUUAUCAUUUAUUCUACCUCUUUAUAUUUUGUUUUACUUUAUUUUAAAUUUAAAGAUAUAUAAAAAAUGCUUGAUGUAAUAAAUUAUGUUCUUUAUUCUCUAUAAUUUGUCAUCAACUUUGAUAUUUUUAUUUUAAAUUUAUACAUAAAAUAGUAUGGACUAAAACAUGGACAAAGGAGUUGUGGAUAUGAACAUUCUGAUUGUGUACAUUCCAAAAAUGACUAAAUAGUUUUAUAUGUUAGCAAUUUGAAUAUAUAAAAACAUAAAUUUUUGUUGGAGAAACCAUGUGAAGUGAAUUACGUAUUUUAUGGAAGAGAAAUAUGGUCAUAUAUGUUGUGGAUAAAUAAAGAAUAUGGGUUCAUACAUUAAGAAGACCAUUCUGCAUAUUUAAGAAUUUUGAGGUAAAAGCUUAAAUAAUCAAAAGACAAGGGACCAACAAUGCAAAAAGAUAAAACAGCACCAUUGUUGGUCUCGAGACCUCUGGCUUCUAAUCAACUUGGGCGAGUGAGGCAGGAUGGACUCCGACUCCUUUCACCAACAUGUUAUCUCGGCUAUACUUUUUCGUAUAAACCGCAAAUAAAAACCGAUGUUGUUCUCCGUUAUCUCUUUCUCUCUCUUGUUACAGAUAUGGCUUCUCGCCACUGUUUCUCUCUUUCUCUAGUUUCUCAAUCUUCAACUGAAGCAAUCUGAAAAACCAUAAUAUGAAGAAUACUUGGGUAAAUGAUAUCUUGCAUAUUUACAUUGUCUUAUCCAUUUAUUCAUGUGCAUUUUCAUCAUAUAGAUUAGGAUUUAGCCAUGUCUAGGUUGCAUUUUGCAUACAUAUGUCUCUAUCAGGUAUUUGAGUACCACAUGGAGUUUCUGGAGACAUUUGGGUGCAUUUGGAGCUCAAAGGAGGUGAUUAGAGUGGUCUUUGGACGAGCACUGCCUGAAGCGACUUCUCGGAGCGACGGCAUGAGGUCGCUGUGCACCACAUCCCGGAGCGACUCAUCCAGAGCGACUGCACAAAGUCGCUCGCGUUUUCACAUUGAGGUUGUAGAAAAAUCCCUUGUAGAUUUCAAAAAGAAAGAGUUAAAGUUCUUAGGAUCUAUUGGUGAGAGAUGUGAGUUGGGUUUGACAUUUGGGAAUGAUUGUGUAAUUGUAUGUUUGGGAAAAGGGUAGAAUAAUGGAGAUUGAGCAUUGUAUGCAUGAGUUGGUCCCUUUCUUAGAUAUAUUAUGUGCAAUGUCAAGGCUACUUGUUUUGAGAGUAAACCACCUUAAAGAUCAUAUGUUUUGAACCUCUUGAAUCACUUGAAUAAAAGCCUUCCCUUUCCCAACCAAAUGACUUGGACCAACGGACCAUUUGCAAGAAUUCACCUGAUGUUUUCUGCUUAAUGAAUGUGAGAGUUGGUUGAUUUGAAUGUGUGGAUGCUUGAUGAUGAGUGUAGGGACAAAAGGAGUUGAGAUAGGCCUAGAGAAGCUAGAGUGUAAUAAGAGAGUGUGCUAAUUAUGUUUGCUAGUUGUGUUUCUUUUGGCUAUGAGCUCCCACCUUCAAACCUCUCUCCUUAUGAGUUCUAGAAAGUUCACUUGAGGACAAGUAAAAGAACAAGUUUGGGGGAGUUGAUAUCUUGCAUAUUUACAUUGUCUUAUCCAUUUAUUCAUGUGCAUUUUCAUCAUAUAGAUUAGGAUUUAGCCAUGUCUAGGUUGCAUUUUGCAUACAUAUGUCUCUAUCAGGUAUUUGAGUACCACAUGGAGUUUCUGGAGACAUUUGGGUGCAUUUGGAGCUCAAAGGAGGUGAUUAGAGUGGUCUUUGGACGAGCACUGCCUGGAGCGACUUCUCGGAGCGACGGCAUGAGGUCGCUGUGCACCACAUCCCGGAGCGACUCAUCCAGAGCGACUGCACAAAGUCGCUCGCGUUUUCACAUCCGGAGACACACAUUUUGAUCUCGGAGCGACCUUCCAGAGCGACGUGCUGAAGUCGCUCCCGAAGCUUGGAGCGACCUUACCAGAGCGACAGGGAGAAGUCGCUCGCCAUUUUGGUUCUCGGAAACACGAAAUCGCUCUCGGAGCGACCUCUCGCAGCGACCCAGCGAGGUCGCUCCCGAAGCCUAGAGCGACGUGCUGGAGCGACUUGCCGAGGUCGCUGCGCGUCGCCUAUCUGCUCGAAUUAAUGUUUUCUCAAGGGCCUUUUUGUCAUUUUAUUAUGCACGUUUUUUAUUCUGAAAACCUAUGUUUUAAUACUCUGUAAGCCACCAAGAGGGGAUUAUCUUUGUUCUUAGAAAAACCACCAAAAACCUUUGGAAAGUCAUCUCUUUGAAUCAAUUGAUCAGUUUAUUAUUGAGAAUUCUGUGUUCUUAUCUAUUUUUCCUGUGUUUCUCUACAUGAUUAAUCUGAAAUCCAACAUGGGUUUAAGAGGAAUCAUGGAGAUUAGUGAGUAAUCCCUUUUGAAUUCAUGGGUUAGGGAGAUUGAGGGUGAUUAGGUUAGAACUAGGAUGUUUUAGUGUAGAUCAUUCAUAUUUCCUUGCUAGUUGAGUGAGCAUAAUGCAUCUUCUGAGUUGGCCACUCAGUAGUUGAAUCUUAGGCAUUUCCCCCCGAAAGGUGUUCGAGGAAAUGCCCGAGACAACUCUUUUUAGCUUUUAGCAUACUUUGCCAAAGACAUUUGUUGUUAGAGGUGCUAAGAUAGCCAUUGGACUUGCUGGUUAUGAUUGCUUUCAUAUUAUUCAACCAAAGACAUUUGAUGUUUGAAUUGUGUUAAGUAAAUGAACAUUCAUCUAGACAUAGAGUUUGUUUAGGAUUGUGUCCAAGCUUAAGGUUAAUAGAUUGAUUGAUCGUUUGCCAUCUUUAGUUCGAAACUUGAUCACCCGAGGUCUAAUCCCUAUAUCCAUGAGUUCUCUUUUCCAAUAGUUAAGAAAGUAUCAUUUAGUUAUUUCUUUUAAUUAGUCAUAGUUUAAAAACCCAUCUAAAUCAUUGAUUGCACUUAGAUUAAGUGAUUACUUGCAUUCUCGGUGCUUUGAUAUCUCUCAGAACUGGUUCGACAAUCAUUUAUACUACAGCAUUUGUCUUAGGAGCCUUGAAAACUCCUAACAUCAAAUUGGCGCCGUUGCCAAAUUCUGAGUAGAUUUAAACAUUGAGAUUUAGUCAAUUGCUUGAGACUAAGUCAUUUUUAUUUUCUUUUGUUACUGACUCUUCUUCACCUCCCUUUAAUCUACAGGUGUAUGAACUUGCGGAGCAGGGGUCCAUCAAACCUAGUUCCAAGAGCAGCAGACAUCAGAGCUUUAGAGAGAGAGUGUGCUAAAAGAGAAGAGAAGAAGAACAUCAGGCUCAAUUGCAGAGACUGAACACUGACAUGGGAGACGUUCAUCAAGAAGAUGCAGGCGUCAAUGGCGCUAACAACAAUGGUCCACCUAACCAACAGCGAGCAGCUCGACCCAUUGGCACUUACGACCGUCCAAACAUUCAUGGUCAUAGAUUGGGAAUCCGAGCACCCGCUGUGGCAGCCAACAACUUUGAGAUCAAGUCAGGACUCCUCAACGUGAUUGAGAACAACAAGUAUCAUGGCUUGGCUCUAGAGGAUCCAUUUGAUCACUUGGACAGGUUCGACAGCUACUGUGGGUUGUCAAAAACCAAUGGUGUGUCCGAAGAUGCUUUAAAGCUCAAGCUAUUCCCUUUCUCUUUGGGGGAUAAGGCACGUCAGUGGGAGAAGUCUCUACCCAGCGACUCCAUUACCACUUGGGAUGACUGCAAGAAAGCAUUCUUGGAGAAGUUCUUCUCUACUUCAAGAACUGCUAAGCUGAGAAACGAGAUCUCCAGCUUUCAACAGAAGGGCUUGGAAGGUUUCAGUGAAGCCUGGGAGAGAUUCAAGGGCUACCAAGCUCAAUGCCCACACCAUGGUUUCUCUAAGGAGAGCUUGCUGAGCACAUUCUACCGUGGUGCUCUCCCUAAGUACAGGGCCAGACUGGAUACAGCUAGUAAUGGGUUCUUCUUGGGGAGAACUGAGGAGGAUGCAGAGGAGCUGGUUGACAACAUGGUUAAGAGUGAUGCAGUCUACAGUGGAGACCACGACAGAGGCAGUAGAACUGAUGAUAAGCAGACGAGGAAGGAAUUGAAGGCUCUACAGGAUAAGAUAGACAUCCUCAUUGCUGAUAAAGCUACCCAAGAGCAGCUGCACUUUGUUGGCAACCCAAGCCAAGAGACACCAGUUGUUGUCCAUGAAGUUGAGGGUUUGGAAGGUCAGGAAGAGCUGUGUUUCAUCAACAACAAUGGUAGCUGGUACAAGAAAGAACCCAACUUUCAGUACAACAACUACCAACAGAAAUCCUAUUCCAACAACCAACAGAGUGGUUAUCAGCCUCGGAACAAUCAGCAAGGCAGCUAUCAACCUCAGCAAAACCCUCCUCCUGGAUUCAACAACAAGGGCAACCAUUCUUCCCAACAACAAUCUAAUCCCUCUACCUCCACUCCUCAAGUCAGCAGCACUGAUGCUCUACUGAAACAAAUCCUGGAGUCUCAAACAAGAAGUGAGAAGCAUGUUGGCUAUGAGUUGAAGAAUCUUCACUCAAAGAUUGAUGGGAGCUACAAUGAGCUCAACAACAAGUUCAGAGCUUUGGAGAACCAGUUUGCUGCCAUGAACACUCAACAAAAUCGCCAACAAGGUUCUCUACCUGGAAAAUCUGAGCAAAACCCCAAGGAAACCAUGAAAGCUAUCACUCUCAGGAGUGGUAAGGAGUUACCUCAGAGAACUCUCACCAAGGAUGCUGAGAAACAAAGUGAGGGGGUUGCCAUCACCAUAGAUGAUGAAGUGGUGAUUGUUGAUGAGAAGAUCAAUGACGAGAUCUUGGAAAAGAUAGUGGAAGCAAAAGGAAAAGGAAAGGUUGGAGAAGAGAAGAAAACAGUUAAAGAUGGUGAAGUUGUCACUCCUGCAAGUGAAAACUCUUUUGUUCCUCCUGCCUAUGAACCCAAGCUUCCAUUCCCAGGUCGAUUCAAGAGGCAGCUGCUAGAGAAGUACAAAGCUUUGUUUGACAAGCAAAUGAGUGAAGUCCAGGUCACAAUGCCCAUUAUUGACGCUUUCAUGCUGAUCCCUCAGUACAGCAAGUUCCUCAAAGAUGCUGUAGCUGCAAAGAAGAAAGAGAUGGAGGGCAUGGUGAUUCUCACUCAUGAGUGCAGUGCUAUCAUUCAGAGACUGGUCAUUCCAAAGAAGCUAGAAGAUCCAGGAUGCUUCACAUUACCUUGUGCUCUUGGACCUAUGGUAUUUGAUAGAUGUCUCUGCGAUUUGGGAGCUAGUGUCAGCUUGAUGCCCCUAUCUGUUGCUAAGAAGCUGGGUUUCACUCAGUACAAGAAGUGUAGACUUUCUCUGGUAUUGGCUGAUCGUUCAGUGAAGUACCCUGUGGGUAUCUUAGAGGACCUCCCAGUGAUGGUUGGAAAUUAUGAGAUCCCUACAGACUUUGUGGUGCUUGAAAUGGGUGAAGAAGCUCAAGAUCCUUUAAUCCUUGGAAGACCUUUCUUAGCCACAGCAGGAGCUAUUGUUAAUGUUAAAGAAGGCAAGAUUGAUCUCCAUCUGGGUAAAGGGCACGUUCUGCAUUUCGACAUCAAGGAAGUAAUGAGGAGGCCAACAGUUCAAGGACAAGUGUUCUACAUCGAAGAGAUGGAUGCCCUUGCUGAUGAACUCCUUGAAGAGUUGUCACUAGAGGACCCUCUACAGCAUGCUUUAACUGUAGAGAAGGAGACUGAGGUGAUUGAGAACCUGGAGAGUACUGCCUAUGGGAUGAUGCUGGAUUCACACCAGGCGUUUUUCAGUAAGGACCAGUACGAGGAGCUUCCACAGAUGGUUCACCAACAAGUCUCAGUCACUCAACAAGAGGACAACCAGCAGGAUGACUGGAGUGAACUUAAGGCACCUAAAGUGGAGCUUAAACCUCUUCCCCAUGGUGUAAGGUAUGCAUUCCUUGGUCCUAAUGAAACUUACCCUGUCAUUGUGAGUAGUGAACUUACUGAAAAUGAGCUAUCUGAACUUUUGAAAACACUUAAAAGAUUUAGAAAGGCAAUAGGUUACUCACUAGAUGACAUCAAGGGGAUAUCACCCUCUUUGUGCAUGCAUAGGAUACAUCUUGAGGAUGAAUCAAUGACUUCUAUCGAGCAUCAAAGAAGGUUAAAUCCUAACCUGAAGGAUGUUGUAAAGAAAGAGAUUCUUAAACUCCUAGAUGCUGGUGUUAUUUACCCUAUCUCAGAUUCUAAAUGGGUAUCACCUGUGCAUGUUGUACCAAAGAAAGGUGGUAUCACUGUGAUCAAGAAUGACAAGGAUGAAUUGAUACCAACAAGAACCAUCACAGGUCAUAGAAUGUGCAUUGAUUACCGAAAACUAAACUCUGCAUCUAGAAAGGAUCAUUUUCCACUACCAUUUAUUGAUCAGAUGCUUGAGAGACUUGCAAAUCACCCAUUCUAUUGUUUCCUUGAUGGGUACUCAGGAUUUUUCCAAAUCCCCAUACAUCCCAAUGAUCAAGAGAAAACGACAUUCACAUGUCCCUAUGGUACCUUUGCAUAUCGAAGAAUGCCAUUUGGACUAUGUAAUGCUCCAGCCACCUUUCAAAGGUGCAUGAUGUCAAUUUUCUCUGAUCUGAUUGAGGAUGUUGUGGAGGUAUUCAUGGAUGAUUUCUCUGUCUACGGAUCUUCGUUUUCUGCUUGUUUGUCAAAUUUGUGCAGGGUCCUACAGAGAUGUGAAGACACCAACCUUGUGCUGAAUUGGGAGAAGUGUCACUUCAUGGUCAAGGAAGGGAUUGUGCUAGGACACAAGAUUUCAGAGAAGGGGAUUGAGGUGGAUAAAGCCAAAAUCGAUGUUAUGGUUGGUCUGCCUCCACCAAAGACAGUGAAAGACAUCCGGAGUUUUCUUGGUCAUGCUGGAUUCUACAGGAGGUUCAUCAAGGAUUUCUCCAUGAUCACUAGACCUUUGACCAGACUGCUGUGCAAGGAAGCUACCUUCAGUUUUGAUGUAGAAUGUCUACAAGCUUUCAAGAAGCUGAAAGGUGAACUCGUUAGUGCCCCAAUUGUCCAGCCACCUGAUUGGGAUCUCCCUUUUGAGAUCAUGUGUGACGCCAGUGACUAUGCUGUGGGAGCUGUUCUGGGGCAGAAGAAAGAUGGCAAAACCCAUGUGAUCUAUUAUGCCAGCCAAACCCUCAAUGAUGCCCAGAUGAAGUAUGCCACAACAGAGAAGGAGAUGCUGGCAAUUGUUUUUGCCUUUGAGAAGUUCAGGAGCUACUUGGUUGGGUCUAAAGUCAUUGUCUACACAGAUCAUGCCGCCUUGAGACACCUUUUGGCCAAGAAGGAUGCAAAACCCAGGCUUUUGAGGUGGAUCCUUUUGCUCCAAGAGUUUGAUAUGGAGAUCAAGGACAAACCUGGAGUUGAGAAUGGAGUAGCUGAUCAUUUGUCCAGGUUGAGGGUAGAGUCUGGUAUCCCUAUUGACGAAGGACUUCCUGAGGAGCAGAUCAUGGCUAUCGAAGCAGUGAUAGCAGUUUGUGAGACUGGUAGGAAGCUGGAAGAAGUCAAAGCAACAGAGGAGAAGGAACCUUGGUAUGCUGAUUUGGUGAACUACCUAGCCACAGGAAGAGAACCUUUGAAUCUUGUAGGGUAUGCCAAGAAGAAGUUCUACAAGGAUGUGAAAAGAUAUUACUGGGACGAACCCUACCUCUACAUUCUCUGCAAAGAUCAGCUUUAUAGGAGAGUGGUUGCAAAUGAGGAGAUUGAUGGGAUCCUUGCACAGUGUCAUGGAUCAUCCUAUGGAGGUCACUUUGCCACCUUCAAGACAGUUGCAAAAGUAUUACAAGCUGGAUUCUGGUGGCCACACAUGUUCAAGGAUACACAAGACUUUGUUUCGAAGUGUGAUUCUUGCCAAAGAAGAGGAAACAUCACCAAGAGGAAUGAGAUGCCUCAAAAUCCAAUCCUUGAAGUUGAAGUGUUUGAUGUCUGGGGUAUUGACUUCAUGGGACCAUUUCCAUCAUCUUUUGGCAACAAAUAUAUCCUUGUGGCUGUUGAUUAUGUCUCCAAAUGGGUGGAAGCCAUUGCAAGCCCCACCAAUGAUGCUAGAGUUGUAAUCAAGAUGUUCAAGAGCAUCAUCUUCCCAAGGUUUGGAGUUCCAAGAGUUGUAAUCAGUGAUGGAGGUUCCCACUUCAUUAACAAACUGCUUGAGGGACUUCUCAAGAAGAACGGUGUGAAGCACAAGGUGGCAACUCCUUAUCAUCCCCAAACAAGUGGCCAAGUUGAGAUUUCUAACAGGGAGAUCAAAUCUAUCCUGGAGAAGAUUGUGGGGAUUACAAGGAAGGAUUGGUCUAAUAAGCUUGACGAUGCACUUUGGGCUUAUAGGACAGCGUACAAGACACCACUGGGUACCACACCUUUCAACCUAGUGUAUGGGAAAGCUUGCCAUUUGCCAGUGGAGCUUGAGUACAAGGCACUAUGGGCAAUAAAGUUGCUGAACUUUGACAUCAAGAGUGCCAAGGAGAAAAGGCUCUUUCAGCUACAUGAGCUUGAUGAGAUAAGAUUGGAUGCUUUCGAGAACUCAAGAAUCUACAAGGAGAAGACUAAGGCUUUCCAUGACAAGAACAUCCUGAAGAGAGAGUUUAAAGAAGGAGACCAAGUUCUUCUCUACAACUCUAGGCUGAAGUUGUUUCCAGGAAAGCUUAAGUCAAGGUGGUCCGGUCCUUUCAAGGUCAAGGAGGUUAGACCAUAUGGAGCAAUAGUUUUGUGGAGCACUGAUGGAAGAGACUUCACAGUCAAUGGACAAAGGGUUAAGCUCUACAUGGCUACUGCACCAGAGGAAGAUGGGGUUUCAACUCCACUGUCUGAUCCUACCCCGGCCUAAUCUAAAAGGAGGCAAAGUCAAGCUCGGGACUUAAAACAAGCUCACUUGGGAGGAAGUCCCAUGCGUAUCCUUGUACAUAUUGCAUUGGUAUUUCCAUUUUUCAUCUUAUUGCAUAAAAAAAAAAAAGAGAGAGAAGUUGUGUGCAGGUGCUUGAUCGGUUCAUUUUGAGCAGGAGUCGUGCGUGGGAGCGAGGUCUCACAGCGACACCUCAAGGUCGCUCCAGCUGGGAGCGAGGUUUCGAGAGCGACACUCCAUGGUCGCUCGCGUUUUCGUCGUCGGAUCAAGAAAAAAUCGCCUCAGAGCGAGGUCUCGGAGCGAGGCCGAAGGGUCGCUCCAGCUGGGAGCGACAUUAUGGGAGCGACACCUCGGAGUCGCUCGCGUUUUCGACGAAACGGAGCUCAAAAACUGACCCGGAGCGACGUCCUAGAGCGACACCUUGAAGUCGCUCCAGCCCAGAGCGAGGUUUCUAGAGCGACACUUCAAGGUCGCUCGCGGUUUUGUCGAAACACGACGCGAGGAAACGACUCGGGAGCGACCUCUCCCAGCGACACCCUCACGUCGCUCCCGAACCGGUCCAGGUAAGUUUCCUAACUCUAAACCCCGGUUUAAUUCAAGUAAACCGACCCUAACCACCCUAAACCGAACCGGACGACCCUAAACCUACCCCAACCCCCGCGACUCCUAUCUCUCUCACUCUCCCCUCCUCUCACAAACUCACAAACUCUCUCAAACUCACCCACACCAAAAAUCCCAAAACCUUCUCAAUUCUCACCCAAAUCAACUAGUUCUUGUUUCUAAACCAAGCUUUCGCCCCUGUAGCCUAUUCCUCACCACCCAUUCACCAUUUCCUUUCAUCCAGAGCAAGGUAUUGAGUUUUUAAAUUCAAAUUCGUAGGUCCAUGAACCCUAGAAUUUGAAAGUCGAAAUUUGGUCACUUUCUUGCUAGAUUGUGGUGAAAUAGACUAGGGAAAGUUUAUCUAUCAAGUUGGGUUGUUGAAUUAAUGGUGAAAUUGAGUUUAAUUUGCACUUUGGCAAAAUUAGGGUUCAUGGAAUUAGGGAUUUUCGAAUUUGACCUUAAUUGGGUGAGUUUGUGGGUGAACUAGAUGUGUUAAGGUGUUACAAGAGUGAGAAUUGUUGCAUUGUGUUGAACUUGAGUUUAAAUUGAUAAUUCAUUUGUUAAGUUCACUUUUGCAAUUUUCUCUUGCAAAAUCCUGUUUUUCUUUACUUCCAACUACUUAUCCCUUUUCAAGUUUUUACUUCUUCAGGUGAAAAUGGUUAAGAAGACAAAGGGAAAGUUGGAAGCUGAGAAGCAAGAAGCUGAAAGAACAGAGUUUGCAUUAAGAGGAAAAGCUUUAUCCUGCGAGCCAACUGGGUCAGGGACGCAGAGAACCGUUCGACAGCAGACUUUGGCUGCAAGGAAAUCGCAAGAACAAGAGAAGAGGGCUGGGAAAAGUGUAGCAGUUCCCACUCAUGAGGAGAGUGAAACUGAGAGUGCUGAUGAGCAGGCACCUACGAAGAAAGCCAAGAUGUCCAAAGGAAAAGGGGUUGCUGUUGAUCGAGACAGGGCAAAAACUCCAUCUGUGGAGGAGCUGUAUGAUCACUUGAAGAAUGGGUCACUUGGGCUCCAACCAGGUUCGCCGACCUCGAUUUGCUGAAGGAGUUGGGCCUAGAAUCCGAUAUUGAGGCGAUGCUGGGACAUUUGAAGAUGCCAAAACUCCUCACCAUGGCUUAUCCUUUCUACAAGGAUGUCACUUGUCAGUUCCUAUCCUCUCUUGUGGUCACUUACCACGACACGGCGCAUGUGAGGCAAGGAUGGGGAAAAAUCACGUUCAAGGUCAAUGGAAGGGAAUACAACAUGAACUUCAAGGACAUUGGGAGGGUCAUGGGGUUCCAAGACCUAGAAGACCACUCACUUCCCAAGUGUGAGAACCUCCCCACAGAGCUUUGGAAGUUGAUCACUGGAAACAGGCACUCUACCGGGGCUGACAAGAACUCACACAUCCGACACCCGUCUGUACGCUACCUCCACAGAUUGCUAGUCCAUGCUUUCUACCCACGGAAGCAAGCUGGUAAUGUUACUGAGGAAGACAUGCGACUGCUCUGUCCGGCUAUCCGUCCUUACGCUCAACCUGGAGUGUUACCCCUUCCCAGCACUGAUAUCUAUGCUACCUUUGGGAUGGUCAGUUUCUUUGUGGGCCGUCUCGAACACUACAGAGACUGGGCGUGGUACACCACUGAUUCGCGCCCAAAGAUGGGGAUAGGCGGAAUGAUCACACCACUGCUCCAAUUUCUGAAUGUUCCCUUGGGAAAGGACGCAGCGGGGCCUAGGUUCAUUGAUGGCACCUACUUGAGGAUUGCCACCUAUUUCAGUGGGAUGUAUGGGAAGGACUACGUCUACCACUACUACUUGCAGGGCAAGCCAGUCGAGGUGGUUCUUCCAAACCGGAACCUGACGAGUUUAGAGAUACCAGGAGCUGUCAGCUUCAACAUUCCCCAGGAGUACUUUCUCGGAGAACACGGGCCUCUCGAUCCAAUUCAAGCAGCUUCAUCAAGGAGAAGGAGUGUCCCUACGCAACCUGACCCGCCUGUUGCAGACACGUCUGAGCAUAUCUAUGGACCUCCGCGCUACUACUUCAAGCCCCAUGACGGAGUCCUUCCCCCUGGAGCUCUCCGUGAUGCUCAUGACCACAUUGGUCGUCUCCAGAGGUGGAACAAAGCUCAGGACAGAACGAUAGAAAAGCUGAAGGAUAAGUGCAAGGCGCUCAGCAAGACUGUGAAGAAGCAGGCAAAGACUUCAGCCAAGUUCAUGAAGAAAGUAGCUGAUGUCUUAACUAGGGGAGGAAUAGCUGGAUGUAGCUCAGCCGAUUUCGCUUUCGCGAACACCUCAAACCCCCAGCCCCCACCCCCGCCUGAUGCUCUUGGCUUCCCCCUCACUGCUGCGCAGCUUCAGCGUAAGUGGAGGAACCCACCCACUCAACCUUCCACUUCCGGCAACAAAUCCCCAUCCCUCGCUUCUUCUGACAGUGAGCACGAGAUUGACGAGGUUGAGAGCCAGCCAUGGUAUGGAGGCUCCGGUUCAGCAUCCGGUGGUUACUACACCACCUUCCCUCCUGACGACGACGAUGCUGGGGCAUCUGCCCCCACCUAUUAUCCAUAGGAGGUACUUCUUUCUCUCCCUUGUAUAUACCAUCUCAUUUUUUUUUUUUUGCAUAUUAGUUUUCUUCUCGGUAUCUCCUUCUUUCUUUGACAACACAGAGACUGUGUAACUCAAGUUUGGGGGAGGUACCAAGCAUUUGAUCACGUUUGCUUUGAUUGUGUUUCAUUUGAGUCAUGCAUUGCACACCUAUUUGCAUAAAAAAAAAAAAAAAAAAGAUUUUUCAUUUAGUUUGCAUCAUUUGCACCAUUAGGAGAGUCUAGAGCAUAUAGGGUGCAUUCACUUGCAUUGGGAGCAAUGAUUUUAAAUGCCUUGUAAAGAACACUACGUUGCACCAUUGAGUAGCCAUGCACCUCUCGAAAAGACUUGUAUGUUUCGAGCCUUGAAAACUCUUCUUGAAACUUGUUGAUUGCUGAAACUCAGUCUUUGAAGCCAACUACAACCUUAUUAGAAAUGAAUGAACUUAAUGCUUCUUGCUUAGGGUCCCUUGUGUACUGAGUCAUGGCUAUACACACUGGAGUUGUCACAUCUUUUAUGCCAAUCUUUUUGACAAACUCUAGUGGUAGACCACUCCCAAAACCUUUCCUUCCUUUUAAGCUUUCAUUGUUUGAUGAGUGAGGCCUUCUUCGGAAAGUCUUACAUGCGCAUAAUGUUGAGAGUAUCGGGAACGACAAUGCUUGAUCUUCAUUUUUGCUAGAUUGGACACUCUUUUGUCUAGCUAUAGGUGGGAGGGUGAGUGUUGUGAUCAUGAUUUGGGAGAAAUGAAAAAUAAAAAGGAUAGACUCUUUGUGCUUAAGUGAAUUGAUUUUCUGGGAUAAGUAGAGAACCUCUAGCUCUAGUUUCGAAAAGUCUUGGCCCCCAACCUAAAAAAAAAAAAAAAAAAAAAAAAAAAAAAAAAAAAAAAAAAAAAAAAAAAAAAAAAAAAAAAAAAAAAAAAAAAGGGGGCUAGCAAAGUUGUUAGGAGCUAAGAAAUGUUUUGAGGUUGUAGAAAAAUCCCUUGUAGAUUUCAAAAAGAAAGAGUUAAAGUUCUUAGGAUCUAUUGGUGAGAGAUGUGAGUUGGGUUUGACAUUUGGGAAUGAUUGUGUAAUUGUAUGUUUGGGAAAAGGGUAGAACAAUGGAGAUUGAGCAUUGUAUGCAUGAGUUGGUCCCUUUCUUAGAUAUAUUAUGUGCAAUGUCAAGGCUACUUGUUUUGAGAGUAAACCACCUUAAAGAUCAUAUGUUUUGAACCUCUUGAAUCACUUGAAUAAAAGCCUUCCCUUACCCAACCAAAUGACUUGGACCAACGGACCAUUUGCAAGAAUUCAC
rnacentral:lncRNA from 1 species